AUGUGGGUUUUGUAGGUUGUUCUUGAUCUUCUUCUUCGUGAGCCAAAAACUAACCAAGAGUGUUAUCUGGCUAAUAAAUGGGAAAUAAGUAUGUAUUUAUAGGUGAUAAUUGCAAAAAAAAUUGGGAAGGGGUGGUAUUUUCAGUUACAAUUAUAAAAAUGGUGGCAUUUAGGGCUAUUUCCCUAACUUUUAAUGGUGGGUACGGUGCGGUCCAGUUUGGUUUGCGGCCAGAACCAACCCAAAACUGAGCACAUCGGUAGAGGGAAAGUGAGGGACCAACACUUCACGGAUAUUGAAGAAUUUUGAAACCGUAGGCCCGAAUUGGAUCAGUCAGUUUGGUUCGAUUUUCUACCUUAUUUUUGGAAGAAAAAAAAAAAGAAUAUGCGAUUUUGUUUUAGUUAGAAUUAGCUACAUUGAGGUAUGUGAUACACAUUAGAUAAUUCAAUUAGAAUAAACUAAAGUAAGGUAACAUUCAUCAUGUGAGAAUUUAGAUGGCUCCCUUUGUAUUAUUUUUUCUUGUUGAUCUAAUAAAUUUCUAUUGCUUUUUUAUCAAAAGAUUUGUAGUACACAUAAAUAACAUUACUUUAAAUCUGAAGUCAUAUUCAGGUUCAGUUUGGGAUUGCUGUCACUUUUAAAAAAAAUUUCUUCUACUGUGCUUUGAAAAUAAUUAGCUGUAAAGUAAAGCAGCUUCAUGUUUGGUAAACAAUAUUUUUAAAGUGUUGUUAGUAUAAAAAACAGUGUCAAAACCGUUUAGUAAAUUUUAAUAUAAAAUUGUUGUAACUGUGAAUAAUGACUCAAAUAAAGACGAUGUUAGAAGUGUUAUGUACUAAUCACGUGGUAGUAGUGGUAGUGAUGGAGUGGAGGUGGUGGUGGUGAUGAAGGUGGAGAUGGUGGUUGUGGUAGUGGUGGUGGUGGGGAUGGCACUUGUGGAGGGUGUGACAGCAUGGUGGUGGUGAUGGUGUUGGUUGUGGAGGUGGUGGUGGAUGUGGGAGGUUUUGGAGGAGGUGGUGGCGGUGGUGGUGGCGGCGGUGGCAGUGGCGGUGGCGGUGGCGAUGGUUGUGGAAGUAGUGAAUGUGGUGGUGCAAGUGGUAGAGUUGGAUGUGGAAGUGGAGGUGGUGUCAUUUUUUAAAAUGAAUGAUGGUAUUUUGGGAAUUAAAAAAAUUCAUUAAAUGUUCAUCUCUGCUUCUUUUGAAAACAGCUUUGAAAAGCAACCUAGAGCCUGCUUUUAAAAGCUGCUGUCAAAAGGCCACUGCUUUUAAAAUAAUCGGGAUAUUUUAUUUUUACCAAACACCUUAAACUGCUUAACUUUAAAGUGAAACAAAUUUUUGGCCAAAAAAAGCAAUCCCAAAUAGAACCUCAAUGUUGUCAUAGCUUAUAUGCGUUUUAUUAUAAUUAUUAUAUAUAUCACGUUACGUAUUUGACUAAUUCACAAGUCAUAUGUAAAACUAUGUCCUCCAUCCCACACGCAUUGGAGAUCGGCACAUAAAGCACAAAUUAAAAUACUAAAGUACAUGCAAGCUGUUAGAAAAUCUGAAGCUUAAUUAGAUCGGACGUAUAGCAAACUCUUGUUUCACAUGUAUAAUGUACAUGCAUAUCCAUUAUAGCUCAAGUCUGCAUGUGAGUUUCAUACAUAGGAUAUAGAGACCAUCAAUUAGUCUGAGCACCACUCCCUGUGCUUAUUUCUGGCCUUGCCGCACGAAGAGUAAUUCUCUGUACAUAACAACACAAAUAUACAGUUUAGAGAGAGAGAGAGAGAGAGAGAGAGAGAGAGAGAGAGAUGAAGGGGGAUUAUAUUCACCGGUCUUUUAGGGGCGUUAGAAGCAGCAGCAGGGUCAGCUUCAGGGGCGACUACUGCCGCUGGCGGUGGAACAACCUGCUCUGCUGCCGUAGCUGACAUGGCUGGUGUCCCUUCAACCGAAAAAUCUGUAAGCACUUGUUGUGUGGUUGAAGUUGAAGAAUCCCCAACACCCAAACACUUGAAAAGAGACCUAACAGCUGCUCCAAGGAAUUGGUAACGAUCAUAAGAAACAGCAACCAUCUUCUCAGUAGUGAUGAUGACCUCCUUUCCUGAUGAUGCCUUCUCCAUUUUAAUGAUCCUUUAAUUUUUUUUCUUGUUUCCCUUCUUCUUCCUCCCCUCUCAUUAAAUAAUUAUUUACUUGGCUUGUGGUAAUUUUACAAUUAAAUAAUGAAACUCGUGGUUCUUUCACUUGUUAAAAAAAAUGUACGACAUUGUAAUCUGUUCUCUUUUUUUCUUCUAUUUUACACCACAAUUAUAGGCGCUCAGGUUCAACGAAUUGACCUUGCAGUUUUGUAGUUAAUAUAACUAUGACCAAAAUGUUCCUCGGUAACAUAUAUAUCUAGAAGGUCAGUAUGUAUGUGCGUGCAUGGAAUUCUUAUAUAUAGAAUUUGCUGCUUGCAUGUAUAGCAUGAAUUUGUUGACUCCUAGUACUAAACACAGCUUUCUCCUGCAUGGGUCUCCUCGAUCCAUGAAUCAACAAUGGUAGCUUCACUAAAUUUAUUCACCAAAAUUAACAAUCUCUUGGACCACAUGAGUUCAAGAGAUUGUGGUUAUUCACCGUUAGAUAUUAAUCUAAUAGUUUUAAAAAGUUUCUUAAUAGGAAUGCAAGAGUGACUGAACGGUGUGAUUGGACCCUUUUUGUAAACACUCAUAGUUUUUCUUUAUUAAAAAAAAAUCCAAAUCUAGAACUUCUUUAAUAUUAGAAAAAAAAAUACUACUAAAUCAAGAACUAGUUGAUCACCCUCAGAGUUUCCUUCCACGUGAUCGUAUGUACAAUUUAAUUUUGCAUAUAUGCUUUUUGGCUCAAAGAUUUGUUUAGAAAUGAAAGGGACAUAGCUGCCUCAUAUCCCUAUUUCUCUCAUUCAACAUUUGCAACUUUUAGAAUUAUUGUGAAAUCCAACAACGACAAAAAAAAACUAGCACAUUGUGUACAGCUGUAUCAUGUGCUCUGCCUAUUCUAUCAUCUAAAAUACACAGAAAUGAAACUUUUGUGCAACUUUAAAAAUACGAACACCCCAAAAAAAAAAAAAAAAAGCCAACGAAAGUGAUAAGUGCAUUAUUUUUUAUAUUUUUAUACUUCAUAUUUGGUUUUUGUAGGAAAAGUUAAUUAAAAAGAGUAUUAUUACUUUACUUUCUUUAUUUUUAGCUAUUUUGCACUCUUGGAAGGAUUUCGACUGAAAAUUGACUUUUCGAAUGAAUUUUAGCACAAGCUAAUUGGAGAAGAAAGCUAAGAUACUGAAGAUCAUUGUGUCAAAGUUUCAUAAUUUUCUACCAAACCAAGUGCUCCAAACUUGCAAGUGAAGACAGUCUAAGAUACUUCAAUCAUUGGUUUAGAGCUACUAUUUCUUUUUCUUUUUUUGGUUCAAAGGGAUACUUCAAUCAUGCACACAUUAAGUCAUGCUACCUAAGUUAAAAAGUAUGUUUAAUAUAAUUUUGAUAAUGUUUAUCAACAUAUCUUAAUUAUAAAAAAUGAAGAAAAACAAAUAUUUUCAAGAAUUCAACCAAACAAGUUUUCAAAUUUUAAAGAUUCAAAAACAGUUUUCAAGUUGUAUAACAACUUUUUGAAUUUUAAAAAUGGAUUUGAGAACUCCUUAUUUUAAAGAAAAAUAAUAGUUUUUUAGUUCCCUACUUGGAUAGGAUACCAAACAGCAAUUGUGACAUGACGAUAGAGGAGUGGUCCUCAAGGGUACGUACUAUUGUAAAAAAGGGUAAUUACAAUUUUGGUUACUGGGGUUAGGGUCGAAUUUAAUUUUGAUCACCCAACUUUCAAUUUUCUUAUUAUGGUCAUCACACUUUGCAUCGUCAGCAAAUCAAGUCCAAUUGAGGUAUUCUAUCAGUUUCAACACACAUGUUGCGUACGUACAGGUGCAAUAUUGCCCUUUUUUCCUCAAACCUACGUCUCUCUCUCUGUAACUUCUCCACCCAUUCAACCUCUCAUUUUCUCCCUCUCCUAAUCAUACCCCCCACACUCUCUCAAUCUUCAGAGCACCCCCACCUAUUGGACUUGAUUUGUUAGAGGUCCUCUCAAUCAAUCCCCAUAAAAAGCUUUCCCUCUUCUUUCUCCACACCUCACAUCCCAAAUUCCAUAUAUAUAUAUAUAUAUAUAUAUAUAAAUUUUGGGUCAAAAACCCAGAUUCAAGAUUUAACUUCGGUGGUUUUUGCAUCAAUGAUAGGGUGCCCGGCACUUGAGGGACUUGGAGAACCGAGUAGAUGAGGACUCGCCGAAGUGGCGGUUGACAAAGGAGUGAGAGUGGGGAGAGGAGCCGAUGUGUAAAAUUCCAACCUAAAAUAAAUAUUAAAUUAAAAUUUUAAUUAAGGAAUUACAUUUUUACCCUUAAGGGUAAGGGUAAAUUGGUCACUUUUAAUUUGGAAAGGAUUUUGGGGAAUUGAGUUGCGCUGUUUCGUAGAGCUUGUUGAUACAAGUUUGUGGACAGGCGCCAUGCUUAAUUCCGAGUUAUGACGGUUGAAUAAGAGUCUAAAAACAAAAAGGGCAAUUUGGUCUUUUCUAAAAAAAAAAAAACUUUGUUUUAAAAAACUAGAAACCCGAUUUUGCCCCCAAAAACCUUCAUGUGUCCUUUCUCUCUCUCCUCCCGCGUGACAAACCUUAACCCGUCACUGUGCAACCAACGAUUGUUGACGUCCGACUAGCUCAAGCCACAAGACCAGCCCAAGCGACUUGCCUCCACCUACUCGUCUCAUCCCACCCCAUAUCCCUGCCGAAAAAAGCAUGGAACGCCUUCUGGAUAGAAACAGCUACAACUCCGGUAAUUUCAGGCUGCGCCAUCACCUGGAAAAGGUAGCUCUCCUCUCCCUUAGUCUUUCCCGUAAGGUCUGCGACGUCGUUUGUCGAUGUAGCUACCAUAUCGAGGUCGGUAAAUUCAGGCCAAAACCUUCACGGGUUUGUGCUCGAUUGACCCUGUACCAGCCACUUUUUGGCCAUGGUCCAAGACCAAAAUUUGUCCCCCUUGGUGUGUUGGUUCCAUAGGUAUGGGUAUUCACCGGCGGUUUAAGAUUUGUCUGAUCGUCGAAAAUUACUCAAGACACCCACACGAUGCUGGCUCAUGGAACCCAUUGUAGCUGCUCUUAAGGUUCCAAAAUAAUCUCCAUAUCGUCCCGGGCAAGACGGUAUACACGGAUUAGAGAUAAGUUAUUGUUUGACUAUCAAACGAAACUUUACAUAUUAGGCGAUAUCUAGUUUCGAUAAGUUCGGACAGUCUGAUCGGUUCCAUUUUUAACUAUGUUGUUCCUCGUAUCCCUAGGAUAGUGUAAGAAUUGGUUGAUUGGGAAUCGGAGUCCCGGAUACUUCGAUUCAAGGAGUUUAGGUUGGGUAACCGAUAAUCGUCUAAUUGUGCGAUCGAGAGUAAUCCGACAGCUCGAUCGAGACCAUACUUUCAGGACAUGUUAUUUGUUUGAGUUGGACCUUUAGGAACUCUUGGUUUGGAAAUCAGAGGUCGUGGGCCCCCUGGGCCUGGGUUGACCAAGAAGGGGAAGUCGACCAAACUGUUGACCUUGGACCUAUCGAGAUCGUCUUAACAGAAAUUAUGUAUUAAAUCCCGGGAAUUAGGGUUUUCUUUCUAAUUCAAAGUUCAUGUUUGAAAUACAAUUUUUAAUAUAUCUUUAUAUUUUUUCAAUAGGUGCUCAGGCUUCGGCUAGCGAGUAGGCAGGACCCCCACCCCGCCAUGCCAGCUUGGACUUUCUUUGAGUGGACUUUGUUUUAAAUAAGCAUUGUUUUAAAGUAUAAAUUGCAUGCAUAAAAAGAUAUUUUCAAAUUUAUAUUUGUUUUUACUUAGAUUUGGGAAAUAUGGGAAGUUUAUGCAUGUUUGCAUGCGGAAAUUACAAGGUUUUUAUGGCAUUGAAUGAAAGUAAUAAGGGAUUGAAUUAUGAUAUAUGCAUGCGGUAUAUAUCGAUGGUGGAUUUGUUUUGUGUAUAUGUUUACCAUAGUAUGUAUCUCCUCCAUUACUGUUACUCUGGAUAUUUUUGACACGCGGUAACUCUUCGGAAGUGUGUCGGGAACCGGGCACCCUUAACCGGGUGUACCGAAGGCCUUGACGGGCUGUCUGCGCGCGUAUGACUCAUUUCAGCCGCACAUGUAUUGAGGAUUCUACCGUGCGUGUCUGGGGAGCAAUAGUCCCCCAGUUGGACUUCUCAUUCCCUAGCCACAUGAAUAUUGAGGAUUCUGACAUAUGGUCUAGUAAAACAAUCCACACAUUGGAUUGUUUUCCCCUAGUACAUAGCUAUGGAUGUGCGUGUGUUUAUAUAUAUAAAAAGGGAUUGAUGGGAUUAAAUAGGUUUUUAAAUCAAACACGUGUUUAAAGGUUUUACAUGCAUGACUUUCGGGCAAAUGUUUUCAAAAAGGCGGGGUUAGUAUGUUUGUUAUAAUUAUGUUUAAACUUUCUUUUCGUCCACUCAUAUUUUUAUGGUUUUGCACUCCCAACACCCCCCCUCCAAGCCGUGACUUGAGGAGCUUAACAACCAAGUUCAGAACUCCUUCUCUGCCUGACCGUUGCCAUAGUAGGACUUUCUUUUUGUGACUUUUCUACUGUUUUCGACUUGUAAACUAACGAAAUUCUUAGUAUGCUCUUAAUACUCCCAUGUAGGGUUGGAUUUAUGGCCAGAGGCUGAUUGUAAAUUGUGUAUGCUGGUUCUUGGGUACUUUAGCUAUGCUUUUAUUGCAGGUGUAAAUUUUUGGAAUGUUCGUUUUUCAGGGGAGACUUUGCCGAAAUUUUGGUAGAAGUUUUGACCCUUUUAUGCUUCUAAGGCAAGAAAAAGGUUUUAAAUUAGUAAAUGGGCCCGGCAUCCUAUGGGUGUUGGAAGGGAGGCAAGAUUUGACACAGAUUCCAAGGGGAAUUUGGGUCCUGUCACGAUGGGGCUGAGUUGACUAUCAGAAUAGCGCACCAUCGAUGAAGAAUUGCCUAGAAAGUCCUCGAGCUUCACUCCACACCCACCACCACACGAAGCUCAUAAUAUUUAAACCAAAGAGAAGUUUUACGAGCUAUAAUCUGAAAUGACUGCUAAAUGCAGAUUGGUGAAAACCAUUCAUAUUUCCACAACAUAAAAAAUUUAAAACCCAGAAGAUAUUUCAAAUUGGUGGUGCUGAUAUCCUCCUUGGUCUUGAGAACAAACCCAGCUUGUCUAUCAUUUCAUCGCACUUCUCCAAAUCCUUGCAUCCCUUCUCAACACUUCCUAAUACCCAAACGACCACAAAAGCAAUCGAAUCACUCAAAUCAAUUACACAAGAAAAAGUUGGCCUCGUCGCCAGAUCCAUGAAGACCCAACCGUGCAUCCACGAAGACCCAACCCGUCGUCGGAUUUGAAAUUUGGACUCAUCUGAUUAUUAUGCACACGCAGUUGAGAUAAAACAUUUAUUUUCACCUCAAAAAAAAAAAACAAAAUUUUCUUGUAUUUUUCUCAAAUUCGUCUCCUCUAAGCUCAAACUCUGUUUCUCGCUGGGUUGAGAAGUUGCAGAGAGGGAAAGAGCUGCAGAGAAAUGGAGAUAGAGAGCUGGGUUGGGAUAAAAAGGCAAUAUUGUCCCUACAAGCACGUAGCACUUAGCAUGUGCAUUGAAAUUGACAGAAUAUUCCAAUUUGACUUGAUUUGCUGACAAUGCUAAGUGUGAUAACUAAAAUCAGAAAAUUAAAAAUUGAGUGACCAAAAUUAAAUUCGACCCUAAUCCAAAUGACUAACAUUAUAAUUACCCCUUAUUAAAAAGUGAUGAUGCCAUCUACUUAAUUUCGAAAUCUAGUCGUAACUGUUGUGUCAACUCAUUAUAACAAUGAAGUAGAAGUUGGGCAAUGGAGCACUUGAAGAUGGUUAUUUAUUUAUUCUUUAUUUUUUAAUAUUUUAAUAAUUACUUAAUUUUUUGUCCACAUGGCGUGAUAUGACUGAAUCAUUAACCCAUACCAUUAUUAAGUUGGUAUGAAAGUGGUUCAAAACUCAUGCAAGUGGGGAUGGUUGGAUCUUGAUAAGGAAUUCUCGUGUAUGAAAAGUUAAAUGCCAUCAUUUGAAUUGUAAGUGCUCUAUAAUUAAGGCUCAACCUAGUAAAUGUUAUGAUUUGUGGUACAAACCGCAUUAAAAUCCCUCUUUUUCCUUAUUAUUAUUCUCUAAAUAAAUCAUCUUACAUGAUAUACUACUUGGCACGCCAUGCAAAAACUUUUUAUGCCCUUCACAGUGGAGCGCGACACAUAAGAUUGAACAAUGCAAAAACAAAAUGAAAUAUAUACAAUAAUCUGCGCUUUCUCAGUAUUUUUUAAGAGAUUUAUUAUUAUACUCAAUAUGGGAGUCCAAAUUAUAAAAAUACUAUAUAUGAAAUGGACUUUAGAAACACACCCAAAGCCCAUUUACAACAUAACAAAAAAGCUUUUAACUUCUUAUAAAUUACAAAACUGCCAUCAAUUUCUUAAAAUAUGCUCAACCCCAAAAUCUCAUAAAAAUAUCCAAAAACACUCAAUAGGACAUCAAAGUAAUUUAAUAAUCAAUAUUAAAUUCAAUAAGGCCAGCUGUCAUUUUUUGAGUUUUUUUGAAUUUGUUUAUAGAAAUUUAAUUGUGUAGGAUUUAUUUAUAAUAUUAGUGCUAUAAAUGGGUAUACCACUAAAUAUAUCUAUUUGUUAAGUAGAAGUAAGCUAGCUAAGAGCCUCGCUCAGAAGUAACAGGAAUUUCCCCCUACAUAAUGAAGAUCACAUGAAUUAAUUGAUUCAGUUGACAGAGAGCUAGAGAUGUCUAUCUGAAAGUCAACAUGGUGAUUGAUGAUUUAGCGGUCACUGGUCUUGACAAACAUAAUACUUGUAUUUGGUUUGCUAACUUUCCCUUACACGUUUCAUUAUAUUAACGAGCUCAUGUAUAUAUAAUAACAGGAAUAUGUAUCGAUCCUUGUUUGCUACUUUAACAGGAAUAUAGGGUUUAGGGGGCUCGUCCAGGGGUAGACGCACAGACGGAUAAAUGGGGUUAGGCGACCACAUGGCAUCCGGUAAAUCAGCUGUGGAGGUCUCAAGCGACCCCAACCCUUGCUGGUGUGCAACCUCAAGGCACAUACUAGCUGUUCGACGAAAUGCGUGAGAGAACUUUGCGCCGCUACUGCCUUGCGCAGCACAGGCAACGCUCCUCUUCUUUUUUUUUUUUCUCAAAAACAGCCUGACCAAAAUGACGUUGUUUUGGUCUAGGCGCAUUCAAUUUUUUUAAAAUGACCCGCUUCAAAAUAGCGUCGUUUUGUUCCAAAUUUAAAAAAUAAAAAAGAACCCCACAGCUCUUACCCGACUCCAGCAGCCUCCAAAAUGCCAAAACCCAAUUUACUUUCACAUUUUCUUCCUAGCAGAUUUGAUGUUGCUUUUGUCUGGGUUUCUUCGACGGUUACAUAGAUUUCUAAACUUUGAAAACUUAUACUGUCAUGCCUUUUUGGUAUUUGUUAUUUAUUCGAGUUUUUUUAUUAUUAUUUCCAUGAAAGUGAUACAAAACAAUAUACUAAUAUCUCAAAAGGAUGUAGUAAUUAAUAUGAGUUAAUUUACACACAUAUACAUAUAACAAACAUAUACAAUAAGGUAUAGGUAGGGAUGGUUCUAGGCGACGGCUAGACACACCACCAACUAAAUCUUAUGUUACAACAUGUUUUUUGUUUAUUAAUACGAAUUCUAAAAAAUAACUUAGUUUUUACUUAUGUUAUAACACGUGAAUUAAUAACACUAGUUUUUUAUGAAUGGUAAACCAAAGAGUUUCUUGGGCCAUAAAAUACUUAAAUGUGAUUCUAUUUCCCUAGAUAAAAUGUUUAGCGUCAAGAGCAUAAUAAUUUUCCACUUAAAUGUCAUUCUAUUUCAUUCUACACUUCCAUUCACAUGAAGUAUGUAUGUAUUGAGAAAUAUUUCUUCAGAUAUUCUUUUUAUGUGUUUUAUGUUAACCUAGUUUUUUUUUUUUUUUUUUGGUCUUGGAUAAUCUAGCAAAGUUCUCUUCUUCGACUUAUAUGUGUUUAUGCUUUUAGUCCUUUUUUCAUAGAUACAUAUAAUAUUCCAAUUUAUAAAAUAUAGUUUGUAUUGUUAGUUUUGUCCUAAAUUAUUAAUAGAAGUAUUAUCUUUCUGUUUCUUAAUAUUAUUUUCUUCUUAAAAAAAUUUCAAGAGUUUUACACUAUAAGUCUCUGAGGUCACAAUUCAAUGUCCGCCACUGGGUUCGCCUAUUUUAGAAUUCAAAUGUUGUUGAAGAGGCUGUUGGAGAUGCUCAUGAUCAUCGUUGUACUUACGGAGCUUUCUUGGGUUAUUUCAACCGCAGGAGCAUCAGCUUCUGGGAUUGGUUCUGUUGUUGUGGCUGCAGGUUACCUCUCACCACCAAAACAAUUAAAAAGAGCUCUUAUUGCUGCUUCAAAGUUCCUCACUUUAAACCCAUCGAAUACAACAGUGCUCAUCAUCGCCUCCUCUCCUGAUAUUGCUGCUGGUGGUGAAGACCUUUCCAUUUUAUGAUAUAUAUCCUUAAUUUACUUUAGUUUCUUCUUCCCUCCCCUCCCCUCCCAUUACAUUAAAUAGAUGGAUUCCUCUCUCCCUUCAGAAUAAAUUUAAUUGGACUUUCUUUGACCAAAAUAAUUAUAAUUAUAAUUGGUUUCUUUCCUUGACCCAAUAAACAAAUAAUUGGUUUCUUUGUGUUGGUUGACUUGUACUUAAUUACAAAUUUAAAAUAACAAUUGAGUUAAAAUAUAACAUGUGUUUAAGAAAAUUAAAAUUAGUUAUUGAAUUUAGAGUCGGUAUCAUAUUUUAACUAGACUAGACUGUUCUACAACAUUCGAAACUCCACAUGAGUUUUUCUCAUUUUAGUCACUCUUCUCACUAUAUAGAAGGUUAUACAUAACUCCUAGCCUAAAUUUGACAGUGUGAUUAUAAAUUUCUCUUUAAUUAUUAACGCAUAAUAAGAAUUUGAGUACGUAUUCAACUGGAAAAUUGAAGGGCAUGUCAGUUUUUUUUUUCUUUUAACCCUAAACCCUUUUAUGGGUUUAAAUUUCUCAAACAUUUCUAAUAGGGGAGGGGGCUAAUGUAGUCAUUUUUGUUGAGGGUAGGCAUAUGGGUCAUUUUCUAUCUUAGUCAAAGCAAAAUUAUAACCCGCGUGGGAACUAAAAUCAGGCUAAAAUACAACGACUUGUAUAUAAUGCAUGUGUUACGAGGCAAAGUAACAGCUAUGCAAAAACCUACUCUAUUGAAGAAGGAAUAUGUCAGAUGAAUGGUAUUAAUCCAUUGACUAUUGGUUAGUGGUCAUUUACCUAAUCUCAUAUUAUAUAAAUUAAGCUUCUCUAUCAUCACAGCUAAUUAGACUUCGAUCUAAUUAAGUACUCAAAUUGAAGUGAUCAAUGUAGCUAUUAAAAAUAUAGUAAAUUUAGGUUUUACCUAUAAAAAAACUUUCACUUUUGGAAAAAGCCAAAGCUUUUUUAAAAAAGACAGAAAAACCUCUCAACUUUCAAACCAAAGACAUGCAAAUGUAAAGGAUUCCUUAGGAAAUCAAAAAAUAAAUAAGGGCAAAUUUGUCCAUUUUGGCUUCUUUUAAAAAUUUUCUCUCUCCUUUGGGCUUUUCUAAAGUCUCCCUAAAAAUAUUUUAACAAAUUGACAUUGUAUACAUGAUUCCAGCUAAUAAGAGACUUUGAAAUAAUUAAGUACUUAAAUUGAAAUCGUCAUAUAUGGGCUUAGUAAGUUAAGUUGGCUAGAGCGGAUGUACUCUCUACUCUGCAUCCGAGUUUGAAUCCUCUUCUCCGUAGUUUAGAGUAUAUUUUUCAUGUACCUUGAUUGAGUACAAAAAAUAUGAAAUUUAAAAAAAAAUUCAAUUUCCAAUGUCCAAUUUGUGAAGAUCUGUUUUUCUAAUAUUAUAAAUUAGUUAUUUCUUCAUUACAAAAGCUGGCCCAUUGUUUAAGCUGGCCCAGAUUUUCUUAAAAGCCCAAAAAAACAAAUCAGCCAUCUUCUUCUCCGGCUACAGCAAAUGAGAGUUUUCAUCUUUUAAAAAAGCCCCCUCCGUCUUCUUCUUUUCCUUGGUCUAUUUUUGCCGGCGAUAUUGCUGAGUGAUCUCACAAACAUAGUUAAAUGCGUAUUUAAACAACCUAAGAAAUCAGAUUGUUCUUCUGUCUCCCUCCAUAAAUAGGAGCGUAGGCAUCAAAAUUCCAGUAGUUUAUGAUUUAAAGUUUGACAUUUUGACUAGUCAAAGCUGACUCAAUCGAAUUAUGGAUCCACACGAAAUAUACGUAGCGCAUGACUCACCAAGACAAAAAUGGACAUUGGAUAUGACACAUGUCAGCAUACGGGAAGCAUCAUCACUCAAAUCAAAUCUUAUGUAAAAAAGAGAGAAUCCUUAAUUGGUUAUUUUCCUAAAUCAUAGGUUAAUUUCCUUAAAUUAUAAGGAUUUUGACUUAGCAAACUUGGUGAGCUGAGACGUGCCAAGCUUUUUUUUUUUUUUUUUUUUUUUUUCCUUUCUAAGUCUUUUAAAUUUUUUUGUUACAAAUUUUUAGAUAACAUUGAAAAAAUUAAUUUCAAUCAUAACAGGCAGGCCUCAUCAUUUGGCCCGUGGACUCGUGGGCCGAUGGGGGCCUGCCCUGCCCAUCGAAAAAAAGCCCGGCCUGGCCCGUUAUGGGCUUUGAGAUGGCCCGGCCCGCUUUGGGCCGGGCUAGGCUUGGGCUUGGGUGUCUGAGCCCGGACCAGUCUGAGCCCAGGCCAGCCCGAUUAAACCCAAGAAAACCCGACCCGGCCCGUCCACAAAAGCCCAGCCCGUUAGGCCCGCAUACAUAUAUAAUUAUGUAUAAAUAAAAGUUUAGGUUUAUGAUUAUAUCACUUAAAUCACAUAUAUAAUUUGUUUCAUUUCAUUUACUUUUUUUUACUCAUUCCUAGUUUAUAAUUGGAUGAUUAGCACAUUAAUUUGUGUCAAUUAUUAAUUCAACAAUUAUAUAUAUAUAAGAUGAACAGCAUAUCACAUCACCAAAUAUAAUCAUAUCACGAAACAUAAUCGUACCACCAAAUAUAAUCAUGCUUUUCUUGAACACAUCACCAAAUAUUUGCAUAUUUAUUCAUACCAUCCUUUAAAAAAAUAUUUUUUUGAUACUUAUUAUUUGUUAAAAUAUUAAUGUAUUAUGAUCUAAUUAUGUAAUAACCUCAAAAAUAAUACUUGGUUUUAUUAUUUUUGUGGAAAAUCUUAUAAGUUGUGUGACUUUAUUGGGUAUUUUAUGAAUUUGGUUUUAUGUGAAAAUAUUAGAAUUAAGUGAGUUUAAUCUCAAAUUUGGACUAAAAUGCCCUUAUGAUUAAGUUUAUGAUUUUUUUUUUAAUGAAGUAAGGCCCGUUUAGGCCCGGCCCGGCCCGAUGGGCUUUCUCAAGCCCGGCUCAUAGGUCGGGCUUAGGCUUUGAAUGUUCUAAAAAAGCCCGACCCGAUAUUUUCUCUCUCCUCUUUAAAGUCCAGCCCGACCCGACCCAUUGACGAGCCCUAAUAACAGGUGUAAAACAAAAUAAAAAAUUAAUUAAUUCAUAGUACAUAUUACAUUAUUUCAAUUAAGUCCACAUAAAUAUUACAUAUUUCAUUUCAAUUACAUUGUUACAAAUACAUAAUAAAUUAAGUGGUUUAUUGUUCUAUUUCUAUACCAUUGUUACAUUGAUAUUUCAUUUCUACAUUAUUAGGGCAAUUUUAUUGUUCUAUUUAUUUUAUUUAUGGGUGGGCCUAAUUUUUCUUGCUCUGUAUUUAUAAAUACAGUCCUAAUUUAGGUUCUUUUGCUAUACCCAAUUUGUGUAGAGGCUUAGCAUCAUGUGAGGUGUCUGUAAAUACAAGUGAGGUGUAUGUAAAUACAAGGAAAAAUUGUCAUUUGUGGUAGAUACCAUUUUCCAUGAGUAUCAGAUAGCUAAGAAAAAGGUUCUAUGAUAUCUUCUAUGGAGGGGGAUUUCCCACACACACACAGAGACAACUAUGAUAUCAUAGGGAUUCGAACCUGAGACCUUUGGUCUCCAAGUUACACUACUACAAAAAGUGAAAAAGACGACCAGAAAACAACGACGGUCUAAGUGAAAACCGUCGUGGUUUAUAAAAAGACGACGGUUCUAAAAACACCGUCGUGUAAUACAACCUUAGACAACUAAAAAUGGAGUUUCAAAUGGCUGUUCAAAAACAACGACGUACAUAAUUAAACAACCGACGUCUAUUUGAAACAGAUUUCCGCAGUGUAAAAUCAAUGCCAACAAAGAACGGCAGAAGUUAUGAAUCGACCGACGUAGAAAGUAAAGACGACGAUUUCAAUAAAAACUGCCGUUUUUACUCAUAAAAUAACACGACGAGGUUUUCGUAUAAGACGCCGUAUAAUUACAAACAAAUCCACGGCUUUAAAAUAUAAAAUAUCGCCGUAUUAAAUUAAUUUACAACGACGGAAAAUAUAAAUAUAUCGACGUCAUUCUCGUAUAGUUCUACGACGUUAUCUUUAAAUCGUACAAUAAAAUUUAUCGUCGUAUUUAUUCAUUUUAUACGUCGUACCUUUAAUUUUAACGGUCGUCUUAAUAAGAAUUUUUGUUAACAAUUUUUUUCUUUGAUUUUCUUAUCCUACAUCGGUAGAUCUACUUAAUGACAAGAAUUGAAAUAACCACGACGGUUUAUAUAGAACACCGCCGACAUAAUCAGAUUUGUCUGAGAUCCCAAGGGUUACGAAAUCUUACCAGAUGGAACUCUGUUCCACAUCAUAAUCUUAACAGAUGACACAGAUUUGCAAAUAUUGCGUCGUGUUAGUUUACAAAUUCUAGAACAUUAAUUUCCCUCAUUUUAAAUUUCCUCGGGAAAGAAAAAUCUAUUUAUCACGCUUUGGAAUUGAAAACUAAAACUGAAAGAAUACGGGAAAAAAAACUCUAUUUAUAAUUUAAAAUUAAAAUCCACGUCGGUUGUAGUACACUUAACGACGUUUAACAAAAUAAUCUACGUCGGUAAUUAUAAAUCUACCGCCAUCUUAACUUAAUAUAGACGACGAGAAAAGACGACGGUAGAACAGAAAACCGCCGUUGUUUCAGUUUCUUUAACAUAUCUUUCUGCAGGACUUGUGUAGUUCAAAGCAUUGACAAUGUCUUCAUCAUAUCUCCCAGAAACUACUGAUUCAAUUGCUCAUGCUUUAGAGGCCAUCUGAAGCCAUUUCUAUUCUUUAUCGCAUUCUUGAAACCCAUCUUCUUCUUCUGAAGCUCUACGGAUAAAGGAAGAGGCUAUCACAAAUCCGACGGAUCUUCUUAGGCAAGAAAAUCAAGCAGAGGAUCAGGCACAUCUGAUCUUCAGAUUUCCCUGAGAAGCGAACUUUCCUUCGACAGCGAGUGGAGGCCAGGCUUGCAUCUCUUUUGAUGGAAAGCAAGGAGUAUUCAGAAGCACUAAGUGUCCUAUCAGGCUUGAUCAAGGAAGUGAGAAGGCUAGUUGACAAGCUUCUUCUUGUGGACAUAUAUUUGAUGCGAGUAAGCUCAAUUUCUCUUUGAGAAAACAUCCAAAUUAUUGUCUUUGAGACAUGAGAGACUGAGAGAGGAAGAACUUGGAACCUUAAAUGUAAACCGAAAAUGAAUGAAAGCGACAAAUUUAUAGAAUAAAUUUUUAAAACCAACGGCGGUCCUUACAAAAAAACCGCCGUUUAAAUUGUAAAAUCAACGUCGGUAUGAUCGACGUAUAUUACAGAAAUCCACGUCGGUAAAUUAAUAAAAACAACGUGUUAAAUAAUCUACCAUGACGCGAGUUAUUACUUAUGUACUUUAAUUUUUGAGUUUACUACGACGGUACCUACAAACUACUGUCGUAUUUAUUUACCACGUCCGAAGUUAAAUGUAUCGUCGUAUUUUGUAAUUUAUACGUCUUAGUUAUAUGUAACCGCCGUAUUAUUUUUUUGAAAUGGUUUUAUAUGUAAGCAACUUUUCGUCUACUUGACUUACACAUUUGUUGUUUUUAUAUUCUUAUUUUAUUUAAAUCUGUCAUCCAAAAACGAAACUUUACAUAUUGCAGAAUAUUAAUUUCCUUCGUUUUAAAUUUCCUCCGGAAAAAAAACUCUAUUUAUAACGCACUGUAAUUGAAAAAUAAACUGAAAGGUCACGGGAAAAAAAAUUCUAUUCAUAAUUUAAAAAUUAAAAUCCACGUCGGUUAUAUUAAACCUAACGACGUUAAAUGAAAUGAUUCCACGUCGAACGAAAAAUAUUGCAUCGUGUUAGUUAAAAACGACGUAGUUAAAUGUAACCGCCGUAUUAUUUUUUUGAAAUGGUUUUAUAUGUAAGCAACUUUUCGACUUACACAUGCACUGUUUCCAAACCCGAUUAAAAAUUUCAAUCUCCCAGAGAAACCUUUUCGUCUUUUUUCCUUGUCAGAGCAUUGUCAGAGUUUCUCAUCGUCUUCCUCUCGUCUUCUUCGUCGUCUCUGAACUUAAACAUCGAUCAUCUUCCUCUUGCUUUCAUUGCACGCAAAAGGUAAGCUUUCAUUUUCACUAUUUUGGUUACUGUUUUGCAUGCUCAUACGUUUUUUGUUUGAAAAAUCUUUUUACCUUUUUUCUGGCCAAAAUCAUUUUACUUCUUUCCAAGUUUGAUAAAAUAUACAGACAAAGAGGGAAAGUUUCCAACUUUGAAGACAACUACCUCAACUAAAUAAGACGACGGUAGACCACGACGGUUCGUCAGUUGUUCUAGCGUCGUCUGAAAAUUGACAAAGUUGUUUUUAAAAUAAUAGUCUUUUUUUAUAUGCUUGUUUAAUUGCAGGUUUGAUUUCUCUGAACAAUGGUUUUUGUUUUUCCCUUAUUUGAUAAAAUAUAAAGAAAAAGAAACUAGGGUUGGUAUCUAAUAUAGACGACAAAAUAUCUUAUUGUUUUACGUCGUGUGAAUGUUAAUACCACGACGGUGUAUUACUAUUGACGUCGUAUGAACAUAAAUACCACGACGUUAUAUAAAUAAUAGUUUACCACGACGGUGUAUUACUAUUGACGUCGUGUGAACAUAUAUACCACGACGUUAUAUAAAUAAUGGUUUUAAACAUUUAUUACGUCUGAGAUUAUUUCAUUGCGUCGUCUAAAAUCAUAUCAUACGUCGUAUUUUUUUAAUACCGUCGUUUGUGUUCUUAAUGUUUUCCUGAAAUAUUUUCACUUGCAGUUUUGUCUGUUAAAAUGGUUUCUCAACAACAAACUAAGGAUUCUGGCUCCAAGAAGCUUGGAAUGGUAGCUCCUCAAGACAAGUCUUCGAAGGAGAUGAAGUCUUCGAAGAAGAUGAAGUUUGCUUCAACAUCUGCUGAGACAGAACAAACCAGCCAGACAACAAUCUCUGAUGAUUCAAAGACUGGUCGAGGUAUGAGCACAAUGCCUCGUGUUGUGAAGAGAAAGCUUCAGAAACUGAGGCCAAUUGUUGAGUACAAUAAAAGGGGGAAAGGUGUUGGCCAAGCACAUAUUGAGAUGCAGUCGUAUAUUGGUGUGUUGGCACGCUCCAGGAUCCCACUUGUGGACAAGAAAUGGUCCCAAAUCCCCAAGGAUAUAAAGGAGCAGAUUUGGGAAGCAGUUGACAUGGCUUUUGUCGUAGGCCAAGGGGGCAAGACCUCUGUUUUAGCUUCUGCUUCCAAGAAAUGGAAGGAUUUCAAGUCUACACUAACGAGGCAUUAUAUCCUUCCAUACACCAAUGACAGGGAGAAAUUAAGCCAACCCCCUGAAACAUAUAAAUUCAUAGAGAAAGCACAAUGGGAUGCCUUUGUAGCUUCAAGGCUAUCCAAAGAUUUUGAGUCUGUGCAUUCUCAACAUGCACAGAUUAGGGAGAAACUCGAGUACAAUCAUCGAUUGUCUCGAAAAGGAUAUGCUGGAUUGGAGGAUCAAUUGGAGGAAACCAUGCCUGGGGUAGAAAUUGAUCGAUCUACCUUAUGGAAGAGAGCUAGACAGGACAAACAUGGUAACAUCCCUGAUCCAAAGGUGGCAGAGAAAGCAAAAUUAAUUGUAAGCCUACUAUCACUCUGUUUUAAAUUUUUAUUAAACUGUGAAUUAUUCUUAUUACGUCGUAUGUUAUAUUUUUCGUCGUGUGAAUGAUAUUACCACGUCGAAAAGUUUUUAAAAACGUCGUUAAUGGUCUAAAUAGGAAUCACUACUAUGUUUUCUGUAAUUAUAGCAUAAGACGUCGGUGGUUCAUUUUCGCGUCGUGUGAAUGAUAUUACCACGUCGAAACUUUUUUAAAAACGUCGUUAACGGUCUAAAUAGGAAUCACUACUCUGUUAUCUUUAAUUAUAGCAUAAGACGUCGUCGUUAACGGUCUAAAUAGGAAUCACUACUUUGUUUUCUUUAAUUAUAGCAUAAGACGUCAGUUAUAAUAACGUCGGCUUAUACGUUAUUGCGUCGUGUGAAAUUAUAUAAUACGUCGUUUGUACAUAAAUAACCGUCGUGUGUUUUUUUGUUUAUCUUUUUUUAGGAUGAAUUGCAGAAACAAGUCUCGGAAGGCAAAGUCAGAGUAGAUGGCAGCAAUGAUGUGCUGACCAUGGCUUUGGGCCCCGAGCAUCCAGGCAGACUGAGGGGAGUUGGUGCUGGUGUUUCCCCAAGGCAAUAUUUCAAUUUGCCCAAACCACAGAGGGUGAGCUUUGACGACCGUUUGAAGGACAGUUUAAGAGUUCUCCUUCAAGAAGAGACUAAAAAGAUGGAGGCUAAGGCAAGGGAAGAGGCCUUAAGAAUGGAGGCUAGGACAAAACAAUUGGUAGAGGCUGAGAGGGAGCAUUUCCUGAGUCAGCUUUCCCAAUUAAUUCCCAAUUUUGAUCCAAGCAUGCUUAAACCAAGAAUUAGCCAAAGCCCCAAAAAUCCAAUGUCUGACAAAGCUAGCUGCUCUGGAGGUGAUGUGAGAUCCCUACAUUUGGAGGAUGAUACUGCCAAAAUGGGGAAACAUCAGCCAGAUGAAGAGAAGGAAGAAGAAAAAAGAGAUGAAGAGAAGGAAGAAGAAAAGGAGAAAGAAGAUGAAGAAAAGCAUGACGACAAGGUAUGUUCACAUAACUUUGCCUUUUUUAUUUGUUUUUCAAAAUUUCAGACGUCGAUAUUUUUAUUUAAUCCGUCGUUUGUUUAAAACUUAGACGGCGGACUUUUUUUAAGACGUUAUAAAAUAUUUAAACGACGGUUUUUGCACCGUCGUUUAAAUGGUUUCAGACGACGCUUUAUUAAUAAAACCGUCGUCUUUAUUGAAUUACCACGACAGUUUUUUCACCGUCGUUUAAAUCCUUUUAAAACGACGUUUUAUUCCUUAAACCGUCGUCUUUAUUGAAUUACCACGUCAUUUUUUUUAUUUCUUUAAACAAGUUAUUGAAGUUGGUGCUUAUUCAAAUAUGGAGGCGCCAUCUUCUUUAAAAACCCUUUGUCGUUUUGUGGAAACGACACUCCUGCCUGAGGAUAAGACACUCCAAUUUACAAUUGAUAAGGAGGUGUUUGGUGGUGAGCGCGAUACCUUCCUCCUGCCUAAAGAUAUUACACAAUUUGCAGGCAUGGAAGAAAUUGGAGCUACUGUAUUGGCUGUAUAUAUGAGGUUUGUACUUCUAAGAUAAUAACUCGUUGGUUUAUAUAUUGCGUCGUCUUAACUAACUAACCACGUCGUCUUAACUAACUACCGUCGUGAUAAAUAUAUUAUAACGUCCUUAUCUCUUUCAGUACGUCGUGUGAAAUAUUAUAAUACGUCGUUUUUUUAUACAUAACCGUCGUGUUUGUUUUUGCUGACUUGUUUAUAUCAUUUUAUGUAUUUAGGUACUUACACGAUGUUUUGAAAGAAGCCAAUAUGUGCAGCAUGGUUGGCUUUAUCGACCCUGCUACAGUUAGUGCCAACUCUGGCACAAUAACUGAAAGAUCACGACUCGUAGCAGCUCGACUUCAGAAGACAGACGGUGAACAGAUUUUCAUGAUGCCUUACAAUCCAGGGUUAGUCUCCUUAGGAUUUUGUUUUUAUGAUUUUCAAUAAAUGACAGCUUAUAAACUAACCACGUCGGUGUUUUAUUUUAUUUAGUCGUCUGAAACUACUAACCACGUCGGUAGUUAUUUAUCGUCGUGAGACAGCUAUAAUGUCGUCGAUUGCUACUUUAUUUCGUCGUGUGAAAUAUUAUAAUACGUCGUUUUUGUAAAUAACCGUCGUUUUUAUAUUAAUUUUGUGCAGCCGUCAUUGGAUUUUGCUGAUUGUAAGAGCAAAGAGAGAAACCGUCUAUUUUCUGGAUCCUCUGCCAGGAAAUCGUGUGGUCGAUGAAGAGGCCAAAAACAUCGUGAACAGUGCUUUAAAAAUAUAUAAUACCCACAUAGCCCGUGCAGGACGUAAAAAUGUAAUUUGGAAAACUCUCUCAGGCACACCAAAGCAACCCAGCAAUGUCGAAUGCGGGUACUAUGUGAUGCGCUUCAUGAGGGACAUCAUCAUGGAUCCUUCCUUGGGGUUUGAGAAUAAGGUAAGAAGAAAUUAUCUUCAUACAUUUCACGUCGUUUUUUGUAUUAUCAACGACGGUCAUGUAAAAUUAACAUCGUUGAAUGGAUAUACUACGUCGGUUAUGAAAAAUAUCGUCGUCUGUGAUUGAAUUUCUUUUUAUUUAUAAACCCUAAUAGUCAUUGUUUAUGCAGUAUGCCAAGGGAAACCAGGAAGCUUCAUACCCCCAAGAAGCCAUUGAUGAAGUCCGGAAUGAAUGGGCAGAGUUUGUUUUCCAAAUUAUUAAACAGGGCAAUUAUUGAACACUUGAUAUUUAUGUAUAAUGUACAAAUUUUCUCUAUAAUAUGUAAUGUAAAAAUUUGUUGAGGUUUUCUUAAAUUAAAAAAAAACAAACAUACAAAUUGCUUAACCGACGUGUAAUACUUUUCCAACGACCUAAUAAAGUCAAAAACCGUCGUAUUUUGUUGUUUCGUGUUUUAAACAAAUACGACGUAAAAAUAUAGUUAGACGACGUUCUUUGAACAAUUGAGUCGUUUAUGGUUUACAACAUCUUCAAUUUCUUAAGGGUUCAGGGUAUCAUCGACGACGUUUAUGUAACGACAGCGGUUAAGUCGUUGAUAUAUAUAUUUUACGUCGUAUAGUUAAAUAGCCGCCAUGGUUUCUCAUUUUAACGACGUCAUUUUAACGACUUAGUAGUCUAUUACAAUUUACAACGUCUACAAUUUAUUAACACCGACGUGGUUUGUUGUUGUGGUAAGAAUAUUUUAUUAUUUUUAUAUCAAAAUAUUCAAAAUAAAUUUAAAAUAAAUCAGAAAAUUGAAAAGUCAACUCCUAUGAAGUCAUUGAUAUAUUUUCUUCCACAUAAACCUUGAAAAAAUUCAUUUUGAAUAACAAAAAUUUAAAAUGACCAUCCAAAACAAAAUUGUUUUGAUGAGUCAUAAAAUCACUUCUAGUUUUAUGGUUUAGGGUUUAGAGUCUAGGGUUUAGAGAUUAGGGUUGUUAUUUAUUGGGGUUUAUUUUUAAAGUAUAAUUUUUGGGUAGUCUAGGGUAUAUGUUAGGCUUUAAAACCAUAAAACCUUUUAUAAACUUAAUUUUUUAAAUUGUAUAAUUUAGUUUUAUGGGUUUAGGGUAUUAAUUUUUAACGACGGUGGUUGCGUCGUGGAAUACAUAUUUUACGUCGUACAGAAAAACAUACGACAUGGUUUACGCUUUAAACGACGUCAUUUUAAUAUGUAAGUCGGUUUAUAUAAUUUACAACGUCUUUAAUUUCUUAACACCGACGUGGUUUUUCAGUCGUCGUUAUAUAAAAAAUUCAAAAUAAAUUUAAAAUUAAUCCGAAAAAUGAAGCUUCAAAAUGAACGGCCUUAUGUUCUUAAUCCGAAAAAUGAAGUUUCCGUCGUGGAAUAUUAAAUUUACGUCGGUACGUGUAGAACUUUCGCCUUGGUUUUUCUUUCGACGUUUUAAAACGCGCGAACUCUAAAAAUUUUCGCGCGACCUAAAUUUUUUUAGAUUUGGCUCUUGUUCUUAUACUUCGAACCCUGAAACCUAAAAUUUUCAGAUUUUGCGCGACAUAACAUUUCGCUCUCUCACUUCUGCUCUAAUUAAAAGUUGCACUCUCCAGGCUCCGUCGAAUCUGUGAGCUCGUCCAACCUGUAAGUACAAACCCUAUCUUCCCCUUGUAAAUUCAUUGAAUGAUAUUAGGUUGUUUUGUUAAAGGGUUUUAUGUGUAUGCUUUGCGAUCUGUUAAUAAUGUGCUUAUAGGUAUGGGUUCAUGGAUUUUCUGUUUAAUGGGUUCAUGACAAGAUCAAAUAAAGGUGUACUUUUGCUGGAAAUCAACACAAAAAGACACAGAUCACCAACUUCCAAAUGAUUUCCAGCAAAAGUACACCUUUAUUUGAUCUUGUCAUUUUCCGUUAUGGAGAAAAUGAUGGGGAGCAAAUAGUAUCUACGAAGGAAGAAACUGAUAAUGAAGAUGGGGAUUCGAGUGAUGAUUCUAGUAACGAUUCGAGUUAUAUUAGGUUGUUUUGUUAAAGGGUUUUAUGUGUAUGCUUUGCGAUCUGUUAAUAAUGUGCUUAUAGGUAUGGGUUCAUGGAUUUUCUGUUUAAUGGGUUCAUGGAUUACAUUAUCUGUUAUGUUGAAUUGGGAAUGGAUUUAAUUUUGUCGUAUCUUUUAAUCACCCUAUGUUAUGUUGAAUUGGGAAUGGAUUUAUUGUUUUCAUGCUUGGUUUCAUGUAUAUGUUGGUUUCUUGCUUGGUUUCAUAUAUAUGUUGUGUUCUUAAUGGGUUUUGUGUUCUUGAAAAUAAACUGAGAUACGACGAAUUUUAAGGCAUACGACGACGAUUACACGACGGUGUUUUUAAACUACCGUCGUUGUAUUACUUAUACACGACGGUUUUUUCAUAAACCGUCGUUUGUAUUACUUAUAAUAGACGACGUCUGUUGAAAAUCCGUCGUUUGUAUUACUUAUGAGCUUUAUUCUUUAAGUUUCCAUUUUAAAUUAUUUCUUAUGUUUAUCUUCUAUAUUUAGGACCGUAAUGCUUGAAUUUUUCGUGUCAUGUAGGCAACAUAUGAUUCACAUCAAGACUGCUUAUCCAAAAUUUAGAAAGAGAACAAAGUGGCUGCAGGAUAAGCACAAUAGCACUUUCAUUCAAUGGCUACGCUUCAAGGUAUAUAUUGUUGAAUAACAUAUUUCUCUUUUAAUUUUCUUCUUAUUUAUAUGUUAGAUUGAAUUAAGAUAUGAUUAAUUUGCAGGUUCAAAGUGAACUUGAGGAAGACAAUCAUGGCGUAUCAGAAAAUUUAAGGUGGCUAGCAGCUGGUCCAAACAUGUCAGUGCCAUUAUAUAGGAGCUAUCUUAUUAAAGGUAUUAAAUUCAAUAUCAAGGCACAAGAUGAUGUGCGGACAACUCAAAAUAGUGGAGUUUAUUUACUUGCACAUACCAUGCAAGUUGCUAGUGCCAAGGAUAAAAACCCAAUUCUCUCAAAUAUGGGUUUCUAUGGUGUCAUUCAAGAAAUUUGGGACCUUGACUACCAAAAGUUUACAAUCCCAGUCUUUAGGUGUGAUUGGAUAGAUAGUUCUGGUCUUGUAGUCGACGAACUUGGAUUUACCCUUGUAGAUUUGAGUAAAAUUGGACAUAGGAAUGACCAAUUUGUUUUGGCUUCUCAAGUCAAACAAAUAUUUUUUGUUGACGACCCGAUGCAUCGUGGUUGGUCGGUAGUGUUAUCAAUGCCUAAUAGAGAAUAUAAUGAUGUUAUUGGUGAUGAAGUCUUAGGUGAUGUGAUAAUUGAGUGUGAGCCAUUUACUAGAGGGAUGCCAAAUGUUGACACAUUUGAUGAACUGGUGGGUGAGUUAGGCGGUCAAAAUAUUCGAGAUGGGUGUGAAGAUAUAUGGAUUGAAUGAUGCUUAUGUAAUUGGCAGUGUAUGACAUUAAUUUUGUAAUAUAUUGUAAUGUGAUUUCUUCACUUUCUACGUUCAAAUAAAACACGACGUUAUUGUGAACCAGUUAUUCAGCAUAUUUACCGACGUCUUAAAGCAAUGUAACAAUGAAGAACCACGACGCUAUUGUGAAGCAAUUAUUCAGGAUAUCACGUCGGGGAAGGAUUAAGAACCGCCAUGUAAUUCAAAAUAACACGACUCCAAUCCCAUAAUACCGACGUCUAAAAAACGAGAUAUAUAAUCUGAACGUUAAAAAAUACGACGUCAUCAUACAUUUUCCACGUCGCAAGUUCUUUUAUAAACGAAGAGGAACGAAAUGAAUUCCGACGGAAAUUCAUUAUAACCGCCGUCUAAUAACAAUUAAACGACGUUAUUUGUAAUACGGCUCUCAUCAUAAUCAACGCCGUCUAUAUGUUCUGUAAUACGGCUCUCAUUUAUUUGGAACCGACGUUGUUUAGAAGUUCAACGUCGUCUAUAUUAUUAAGUGCGUCGUGAGUAAUGAUGAUAGAUAUAAAUACAACGUCGACUAUAUAAAUGCCACCGACGUUGUUUCGCAUUUCAACGUCAACUGUAUAAAUACAUACGUCGUAAAUAAUGACACUGACAACUAUUUCCACGUCAUCUUUUUUAGAAAAAUCGAAGUGGAAAAUUUAUUUCACGACGGUUGUUUGUAAAUAAGAGACGUAGUAUAUUUCAAUAACGUCGUCUUCUCAUGUAUUUAAAGACGUCAUAUUUUUUCUUGUCGUGUAAAUUAUAUUUAACGGCGUAGUAUUUUAGUUGUCGUCGUUGUAUGUAUAUCUUGCGGCCUUGUUCUUUUAACAUGUGUCAUAUUUUUCCUUUUUAACGACGGUGAUUUGUUUGAGUUGGUCGUCUAUUCUCAUCCUCGACUAUUUUCUAGAACUUUAGCAGACUAAACACGUCUGUUUUUAUUGUUUUCCAACGUUGUUUUAUUUAACAACGUCUAAUAUUUAUCGUCGUUGUUUGUUUCUGAAAAUAUGACGUAUAAAUUUUGUAAUACGACUCUCAUAUAUUUGUAACCGACGUUGUUUCGUUUUUCAACGUCUACUCAAUAAAUACAUACGUCGUAAAUAAUGACACUGACAACUAUUUCCACGUCAUCUUUUAUCGAAAAAUCGAAGUGGAAAAUUAAUUUUACGACGGCUGUUUUUAUAUAUGCAACGUAGUAGGUAUCAAUAACGUCCUCUUCUAAUGUAUUUAAAGACGUCAAAUUUUUUAUUGUCGUGAAAAUGAUAUUUAACGGCGUCGUUUUUUUAUUUCCGUCGUUGUAUGUCUAUCUUGCGGCCUUGUUCUCUUAAUAUGUGUCAUAUUUUUCCUUUUUAACGACGGUUUUUUUAGAGAGUUGGUCGUCUAUUCUCAUCCUCGACUGCUUUUUUAGAUCUUUUUGCAGUACAAAGACGUCGUUUUGUAUUUGUUGAUGACGUUGUAUAUUUUAACAACGACGGUGAUUUAGCGUCGUGGUAUAUGAGGGAAAAGAUGACGGUAGAUUCCACGACCAUUGAAAAAUCGAAUACACGACGGUGAUUUACCGUCGUCUUUUUGCUUUUUUGUAGUAGUGUUAAGGCCAUUUUUCACUGGGCUAGACCCAGUUGGUUUUUGUUUUUAAUGUUCUCUAAAUACUUUUUAUGUCUAGACAUGGAUUGAAAGAAAAAGAGGAAGAUUGUGACAACUCUAGUUGCAAUAGAAUUAGAGAAACAGGAGCAAGAAAUCUAUUAUGAUCCCCUCAAUGAGAACAAUGUAGAUCAUGGCAAUAUUGAUACCCUUGUCGCAUCAGAUUAAUGGCCUACAUGUAGGAAUAAUUUGACUAUUGAGAUGUUUAAUGACUGGAUGUCAAAUAGAGCAACAUGUUAAGAAUAUUUAUUAUUCUAUUUAUUAUGUUUAUGUUUAUCUGGUUAAGUUGUGGAAGUCCUAUUCUUUGGGGACUUGGUUGUUUAGUUGCUAGUUAAUAUGAGAGUCCAAGAUGUCAUGGAGUCAUGGUUUAGUCGUGCAGUAGUUGUUCAUAUUAUUUAGCUAGUUGCUUUGUUAGUUUGCUCUUUAAGUUGUAUUUAGUAUUCAAGUUUAAUGUGAAGAGAAGUUUGAAUUCUACAAAUAUGUUCUUGGUUCUUCACUUGUUUCCUUAUUUUGCAUAAUCUGGUAUCAGAACCCCCACUGGGCUUGACGUAUAAAUUAUCAAAGAGUAGCAUCAGCGUUUCUUGCCCUAGCAAGUGUCAAAGAUGUCUGAUAGAGAACCUGAGAAUUUUGUGCAACUAGCAAUCCCUUGUUUUGAUGGUCAUUACGAUCAUUAGAGCAUGCUCAUGGAGAAUUUUCUGAGAUCCAAGAAAUAUUGGGAUCUAGUGGGAACAUGCAUUGUCAAACCAAAAGGCGAGCUGACACAAGCAUAGCAAAAGAAGAUAGAUGGACUAAAGUUGAAGGACCUGAAGGUGAAAAAUUACUUGUUUCAAGCCAUUGAUCGAGCAAUUUUGGAGACCAUUCUCAGAUACUUCAAAGCAAAUUUAGGACUUAAUGAAGAGGAAGUUCCAAGGCUCAACUAGAGUGAAGCGUGCAUAGCUUCAAGCUUUGAGGAGGGAUUUUGAGACCCUUCAAAUGAAAAAUGGAGAGCAUGUGACAGAUUAUUUUGCAAGAACCAUGAGGAUUGCAAAUAAGAUGCGAAUCCAUGGUGAAGCGAUAGAAGAUGUAGUCAUUGUUAAGAAGAUCCUACGUUCUCUGGCACCCAAAUUUGAUUAUAUUGUUUGUUCAAUCAAAGAAUCACAUGACUACAGAGCUCCUUGCUAGUCUAUGAACAUAAAUUCAACAGAAGCACGACAAAAGAGCACGCGUCAACCCAAGCUACUGGGAUGACUAGUCAUACUAAAACCAUAGGUUCAAGAGGAAGAGGUCGUGGCAGAGGCAGAUGACAAGGAUAUAAAGGAAAUCGAGAUGGAAACAAACAAAAGGGAGCAACUGCUAAGAAGUCUAAUGAUCAACAAUCCUCAAACUCUCAUAGUAGAGGGGGAGGACGCAAACAACAGAAUAUCAACCGUCAACAGAAUGACAAGGCCAACAUUCAAUGUUUCAGGUGCCACAAUUUUGGUGACUACCAUUCAGAUUAUUAUACAAGGCUAACAAGGCCAACGUUCAGUGUUUCAGGUGCCAUAAUUUAUGAUCCUGCAAGAGGUGCGAUUGCACAGGUUGAGGUGACAACUAACAGGUUGUUUCAGUUACAAAUCAAGAAUAUCCAUCUGGUUUGGUGGCCAAGGUGACUGGUCUGACAUGGCUUUGGCACUUUAGUUAUGGCCAUUUAAAUUUCAAUGGGCUUAAGACACUUUAUCAUAAGCAGAUGGUGACUGGUCUACCUAUGGUCACUCCUCCCGCCAAAGUAUGUGAAGAGUGUAUUGUUGGCAAACAACAUUGUGAUCAAUUUCCCAAAGGCAAGGCAUGGAGAGCUGAGAAGCUGCUGGAGCUGAUACACUCUGGUUUAUAUGGUCCCAUUAACCCAACAUGAUGGAAAAAAUAAAUACUUUAUUUCUUUUAUUCAUGAUUUUAAUCGGAAAACCUGGUAUAUUUUUUGCAUGUGAAAUCUGAGGCUUUUAAAGCAUUUAAAAGUUUCAAGGUUCAUGUUGAAAUUGAAGUUGGGAGAGCCGUUAAGACACUUCUUACAUAUCAUAAAGGAGAGUUCUGUUCAAAAGAGUUUGAAGUUUUUUGUGAUGAGCAAGGCAUCCAAAGGCAACUGACAGUAGCCUAUACACCCCAACAAAAUGGGGUGUCAGAGAUAAAAAAAAAAAACAGAACCAUUCUCAAUAUGUUGAGAAGCAUGCUAGCGAAAGGGAAAGUUCCAAAAAAUUUCUGGCAUGAAGCAGUGAAUUGGAGUGUUCAUGUAUUGAACAGAAGUCCCAUUUUUUUUGUUCAAAACAUGACACCAAAAGAAGCUUGGAAUUGACAAAGACCGUUUGUAGAUCACUUCAAAAUUUUUGAUUGCAUUGCAUAUGCAUAUGUACCUAAUGAGAAGAGGAAGAAAUUUGAUGCCAAUGGCGAAAAAUGUGUUUUUCUUGGCAUAAGUGGCCAUUCCAAAUCCUAUAGGUUAUUCAAUCCAAUCACCAAGAAGAUUGUCAUCAACCGAGAUGUAAUUUUUGAUAAGGAAAACACGUGGAAUUGGAUUGAAAGUUUCUCAUAGCAACAACUCAUUCCUGUAAUUUUUUAUGAAGAAGAAGAAAAGAAGGUUGACCCGUCAUACAUACAUCAUGACCAAUCAAACAUGCAACUGCAACAACUAGCCCAACAACAACAAGUAGCUCAACAACAACAACUGUCAAUUAAUUCCAGCGAAAAUCAUCAAGGCGAGGCAUCUAGCCUAUGGUCCCGACGCUUGAGGAAGAGGCCAACAUGGAUAAUAGACUAUGAGGUCAGUGGUGUUGUUCAAUCUGAUGAUGACGAUGACAUGAUUGCACAUUUUGCCUUGUUUUCGUAUUAUGAUCCAAUAAGUUUUCAAGAAGCUGUGAAGGAACCAAAGUGGCAAAAGGCCAUGGACGCAGAAAUCAGGGCCAUUUAGAAAAAUGAAACAUGGGUUCUGAUAGACCUUCAAAAUAGGCAGAAAAAGAUUGAAGUGAAAUGGGUUUUUAAAACCAAGCUAAAUGAAAAGGGUGAGAUAAACAAGCACACGGCUCAUUUGGUAGCAAAGGGCUACAAGCAUGAGUUUGGUGUUGACUACAAGGAGGUGUUUGCACCAGUUGCAAGGAUGGAUACAAUUCGCCCUGUUCUUUCCAUGGCUGCUUAAAACUCGUGGCUAAUUUUUCAAUUGGAUGUAAAGUCAGCAUUUUUGCAUAGGGAGUUGGAAGAAGAGGUUUAUGUUGAGCAACCUCCUGGAUACAUGCAACAUUGGAAGGAGAAAAAGGUAUAUAGAUUGAACUAAUCACUCUAUGGGCUGAAACAAGCACUUAGAGCUUAGUACAACCGCAUAGAUGCUUACUUUGCUAACCAAGGCUUUCACAAGUGUUCAUAUGAACAUACUCUCUAUAUUAAAGUUGGAAAAAAUAAAAAGAUUCUUAUUGUAUGUUUAUAUGUUGAUGAUUUGAUCUACACAGAGAGUGAUAAGGCUAUGUUUGAUCAGUUUAAAAAUUCCAUGAUGACUGAGUUUGACAUGUCAAAUCUUGGGUUAAUGCACUAAUUUUUGGGCAUUGAAGUGAAUCAAUCCACUGCUGGAAUUUUAAUCUCACAAAAGAAGUAUGUUCAAGAAGUUUUGGACAGGUUUCAUAUGAAUGUGAAAUCAUCAUAUGAAGUAUGUCCUAAGGAUGAUGUUAUUGAUCUGAUUUAUUGUAAAAGUGAGGACCAAAUUGUUGAUAUUUUUACCAAGCGUCUCAAGUUGCCACUUGUGUACGUGAAAUUGAGAAAUAUAUUGGGAGUUAGUUCUUCGAAGGAUGUUGCUCGUUGCCCCUGAAGGUUGAAGAAUUGAAGUUUUACCUUUAAACUGAUUGUCUGCAGAACACUUUAAGGGAGGUUGUUAAGAAUAUUUAUUAUUCUAUUUAUUAUGUUUAUGUUUAUCUGGUUAAGUUAUGGAAGUCCUAUUCUUUAGGGACUUGGUUGUUUAGUUGCUAGUUAAUAGGAGAGUCCAAGAUGUCAUGGUUAGUGACUACAUGUCAUCGUUUAAUUGUGCAGUAGUUGUUUCUAUUAUUUAGCUUAGUUGCUUUGUUAAUUUGCUAUUUAAGUUGUAUUCAGUAUUCAAGUUUAAUGUGAAGAGAAGUUUGAAUUCCACAAACACAUUUUUGGUUGUUCACCUAUGUCCUUUUUUUCAACAUCUUACCAAAUUCCACAAAUACCUUAUUGGUUCUUCACCUGUUUCCUUAUUUUUCAACAUCAACAUAAGUAUUUGGUGAUCAUUUGAAGUAUGUAUUUAUUAUUAAUUUUGUGAAGUUUUGGACAAUUUUUAUGGAUGUAUCUUAUUUUUAAUUUUGUGUGGAUGUUUUUUUAAAAUUAGUUAUUUAUGAUAUUUUUAAAAAAAAUCUAAUAAACAUUAAAAUUAAUUUUAAUAUAAAAUAAUUUUGAAGUUCAAUGCAUUCCAGCCAGCACUUGUACCAAACUACGAACUUGACUUAAGUCCAGUGCAGUCUGCCCAACUUAAAUGUGCAAACAACUUAUUAAAGUCUAGCACAACCUAAGCUAGCCCAGUCCAACACUCCAAAUCUUAUCAUAACCAGUUCAAUACGACUACCAAAUGGGGCCUAAUAUCAUAAAUUGAAUUAAUUAAGAGGUAGUUGAUCCCAUACUCAUUCAUUCUCUCUAUUAAAAGUCAUACUCCAACCCAAACUAUUUUUAUCUUUUCUUCAUAUCCUUAUCUCUUUACAUUCCUAUCAAAACUAUUUUUUAAGCCGAUAUCAUUCAACAUAAACUCAUCAUUUUUGGUGACCAGGUUUGGAUUGGAUUAAGAGGUAGGAUUAGAUUACAAUAGAUUACAUUGGAUUGGAAAUGAUAAGUAUCUUUCAUUAGCACUAGUGCCCCGGGUUUGUUUUGCAGCUCCCGAUAUUGAGUUCAAAGUCAAGGGGUUGGAGGAGUGGAUUAUGUAUCCCACUUUCUUAGUAUGAUAAGUCAUCUUACAAAAAUGCACAUAACGAGAUUACAGUGGGAUUAUCUUUUAUCCAAUCUGCAUCCAUUCUUUUAGCACCAAACAUAGUAUUGAAUUAAGCUAAUCCAAUCCUUCUACUUAUCUUACCCACCAAACAAAGCCUAUGUGAGUGGACUAUGAGCUAAAGUUUUAUCCUGCUUAAUUAUUUCUAAAGCAAUACUUUUGGGAUAAACAUGGUCAAAAGUGAGCAAAACCAAUGAGAAAGAAUAUGUUUCGCAUGCAAUUCGUUUGACUGUCUUAUUUUCCUCAUACUAUUUGUUUUAUCGUUGAAAGCCAAUUUAUACUUUUAUCUUUGGUAUGUUAAAAUCAAGAGAGCCACUGCUUUUUGCACAAAGAGGCGUAGAGCAUAAUAAAUCCAAUGUGCAUACACACAAUACAAAAGUGUACAGAAAACUAAAAUCCAGAAGAAAAUAAAAAUAAAAAUAAAAGGCAGUGUCGUAAUCAAAUAAAAUUAUGUUUGUAAACUACUUUACUACUUGGCUUCAUUAUCAGGAGACUCCAAGAUUGGGACCCACAAAACGGAAUGCUGGAUGUUGUAGUUUGGAUUUUUUAAUUAUUAUUAUUGUUCAUUAAUUUUUAUAUAAAAUAGAAUAAACAAUUAUUAAGUUAUUUAAUUGUUUAAUUAAAAUAUAAAGUGGAAGGGGAAGAAGUUGGACCGAAUCUGAGGUGUCUAAUGGUGUGGGCCCCCACGUACUCAAGCCCAGGAUUUGACUGAAAACGGGGCUGCCCAGAGUCACGUCCCUUUCCACGUUGUAGCGCCAAGGCGUUUUGACUGCGUCCGGGCAGCGGUCAGCACCGUUCGGGCACCUCUCUCUCUUCUUUUUGCACUCUCACUCCACUCUCUCACUCUUCUCUCUCUGUGCGCGCACGCCUCACUCGAAAAAAGCGAAAAUUAAAAAAAUUAAAAAAAAAUUAAAAACUGCAAGAGAUAUAACUAUUAAGAAUCCCACGCAAAUGCUCAGACACAGAGAGAGAAAGUGAGGAAGAGCAAAAGGGUAAGUUUGGCGAAAAGGGGAGCAGAGAAAGAGAAUAAAAUGGUUGAAAAUUUGUAGGUGUUUUUUUUAAAUGUGUUCUUUUAGCUGGUGAGAUCAGGCUUUCUUAUUUAUAAAAAAAAAACCAUUUUUGAUUUUGGUUUUGGUUGAGUGGGUGAAAUUUUGGAUUUUGGAAAGUGGGUAAUGGUGGGUUUGUUAGGGUGAGAUUUCUGAGCUGGGAUUUUGGUAAUCUGAGUUGGGUUUUGGGGGGUGGUUGUGGGUUUUCUGUGAUGGUGUGUUUGGGUGUAAGAUACCAUUUGGAUCUGAGACUUGAAAAAAGCAAGUGAGAUGGAGAGCAAGGUAGGGAAUUCACUUUGUCUCUGGUUGAUCUUAGUGGCUCAUCCACUAUGGAUGACAAUGGUGCUUGCUAAUAUGGAAGGUAUGCUGUUGUUUGCUUUGUUGAGCUAGCUCACUUUGGUUGAUUUUUGUUUCUUCAUUCUCCUUUCCUUUUCCUUUCGCUCUCUUUUUUGUCUUUUUUGAAAAUUAUAUUUUUGUUUACUGGUUUCAUGAAUUUCUGGAAAUGGGGUUCUGUUAACUUUUGUUGUAAAGAUUUAUGGGUUAAUGGAAUAUAGUAUGCUCAUUUAAACUUACUUACCUUGUACUGAGUAUUGAAAGACAUUUAUGAAUCUUGAAUAUUGGAGUUUUUUAUGUUUUUGAUUUGUUUACAAAGCUCUUAAAUUUAAUGAAAUGGAAGCUGAACUUUGGUGUGACAAAGCUAUGAUGAAUUAUACAAUUUUAUGGCUUCUGUUGGUGUUUUGGUUGCUAUAACUCAACCGGUACUUGAUAUUAAGUGCUAUUAUUUGGUUCUCUGAAUAUGACUUUAUGAUGUGUGUUGGUUGGAUAGACCUCUAUUUAUUUGUCAAAAGUUAUGAGUCAAUAAGACUUUGAGGGUAAUAGUUUCUUUCUAUUGGCCUUCUUAUUUUAAAAUCAUCUCUACUAUAGUCAAGGAAGUGAACCCUCAGAACUUUAUGAUUGAAAACCUGACAUCCACCAUUUGUUUCUGCUUGUGAACAAUUGUGCAAGCACGAGAUUGAUGGGCUUUAUUUUAUUUUAUUUGUAAAUCAAGUCUGCCAAAUUCCUCAAACGCAAAAGCACAAUGGUUUUUAAGCUCAAUGGUCUAUGACCUUUUAAGCAUCAUAUGUGCUGAUUUAAGUUCUCAUGCAAUCUGGCCUUCCUGCAUAAUGGUUUUGUAUCUGUUUCUGGAAAUUCUAGGGAAGCAUGCUUUGCAAAAUUCAAACAUCGUUGUCUGAUAUGCUAUGUCAAGUGUGUUAAUCGUUUAUAUAGCAAGCAACUAAUGGCUUUUCCUUUUUUUCCCCAAACAGGUGAUGCUUUGCAUAGUCUAAGGACCAAUUUGGAGGACCCUAACAAUGUCCUGCAAAGUUGGGAUCCUACCCUUGUCAACCCUUGUACAUGGUUUCAUGUCACAUGCAACAAUGAAAAUAGCGUCAUAAGAGUGUAUGUUGUCUCUCUGACAUCUACAAAGAAAAUGCUCUUGUAUUACUCCUCUCGGGAAGAAUUCAAUUGACAAUGCUUUGUUUUGUGUUUAAUUCCAGUGACCUUGGAAAUGCACUCUUGUCGGGUCAACUUGUUCCACAGCUCGGCCUUCUUAAGAAUUUACAAUAUUUGUAAGUUACUUUGUGCUUCGAUUCUAUGCUGUUGGCUAUCAUUCUUUUCUAAGUGUUGUUAGUCCUAAUGGAGUUACUCUGGUUGCUUUUUUAUUUUAUUUUUUAUUUCAUGCAUAGUCAUUUGAUUGUUAUGCAUAUGAAAUAAAUAUAUUUAGCAGCUUAGUACCAAGGCAUUGCCUAGGCUAUGGCUCAAGUGAGUAAUAUCAGGUUGGUGUGGGAUACUUAACUGAAACACAAAUACUAUGAACAUUAACAUUGUGGUAUGUUAGAAAACAACAUUUGAGGUAGGAUAAUAUGAGGAAUAUGAUGGCAGAUACAUUAAAUUCCUGGAAGAAACAAUUAGUUCGUAUAAUGUAACUAAAGCACGUGGAUAGGUUUAAAGAACUUAGUGUACACUGUGUAUCUAUUUUGCCGGUUUUGUUGGAACUUAGAAAUACUGGUAUCUAGUUGAAGGAAAGGACAUAAGGUUAUGAAAUACAAGAAGUAUUAGUGGCAAGUGGCAGACUGUUUUGUCUAUGAGGUAGGUGGUGGGUUGCGGCCUACUUUAGGGUUUAGGGUUUAGAUUGCAUGAAUGGAUAAAUAUAUAUAUGACCUUCUUUAAUCAAGUUGGAAUCAGUAUAGAUCAACCCUAAACGUAAUCUACUUAUUGAUUGGAAUUUUGUUGAGAGACUACUUUUUGUAGCAAUCUUCUGUAAGAAGGUUCUCUGUUUAUGGUGUUGUAUGUCAAGCUUUGGAAGUUAUAUGUAGCCACAGGUCUGGUAGAACACCAUUUGUGAACAAUGAGAUGUGGCUCAUUGUAGAGAUUUUUCCUUGAAUGUUAGUCAAGUUUUUUUCAGUUCACAAUUUUUAAGUGUAUCAUAUGUAUUUGUGGGAAUGUUCUCAAAAUGUCAUCUGACUUUCGUUCAGUGUUCCUGAAAUAUGUUAACUGGCUUUUUUGGUUGCUUCUGGUCCAGAACCCAAAUAGUCUAUCAGAAGCUGAAUGAAAAAAAAUUGUUAAAUUGUUACAAUGGAAAAGUUUUGAACACUUUUAUUUAUGCCCAACAGUGGAAAUCAUUUUUGAACCAUAUGUUUCAUCUGGCAUGUUCAUGUUUUGGCCAUUCGCCGAGAUAUUCUUUUGGAAAAACAUAUUGUAAUGACACCUUUUGCACGCCCAAAUCCUAAAUAAAGUGUUUGGUGCAUAUCAAAUUAUCAGGAAUUCACUUAUGAAUAUUAUCUACACUGUUAUCUUUACUUAGACAUACAUGCUUUCAGGUCAUAAACUAGAUUUUCCCAAAAAGUGUGGUAACUUAAAGUUUUGAUGUUAAAUAUGUCCAUGCUGAUUUGUUUUCUGAAAAUGAGAUCUACCAGUGUCUUAUGAUUUUCCCCGAGUCAUCUGAUAUUAUUGCAAACUUUUCCAGAGCUAUGUAUUAAAUUUUUUUCCCCCUUAAAUGACAGGGAACUCUACAGUAAUAACAUAAGUGGACCAAUUCCUAGUGAACUGGGGAACCUAACCAGCUUGGUGAGCUUGGAUCUUUAUUUGAAUAGUUUUGCGGGUCUAAUCCCAGACACCUUGGGCAAGCUGUCAAAACUGCGAUUCCUGUGGGUAUACUUGUCUUUUACCUUGUUUCUUUAAUGUCCACAUUCUAGACACACAUGCCCGUGAUAUUUGGCUAGUUUUCUAAAACCUGAGGGCCUAACAAAGAGAGCAUAUAUUCAUGAACUACUGAGACUAAGAGGAAAGAAAACAAGAUUGAAAGAAGUAUUUAUUUGCAUAGAAAAACACAAAUUUAUUUUAUGACUUUACCAUAUUUUUUGAUUUUGGGAAAUGGAAGAAAGUAAAAGAAUAUAUGUCAUAGUACUUUGACUAUCAAGUGUGUAACAAACAUAUAAGAAAUUUGCUGCUCCAUGUUUAAGAUUGUAAAGGAUUUGAAACGCUACAUAUUAUAUUCAUAAAGUAAAAGUUCCAUUCACUAAGCUCUGUAAUUGUAGAAGCCUGUACACGUAUUUGAUAUAAAAGUAACAUCAAUAAAAUAUAGGUUGUCCUCCUUGAACUUCCAAAACCACAGCAAUGUUGAUGGCACAAAGGAGACUAAGUUCAGUAUUUUUGUGUUGUCAACAUGACACACAUAUAUAAAAUCAAGUGGCUUUAUAAUAUCAUUGUAAUUAUAUUACACACGUGUCAAACAUUUCAUUCCAAAGAACAAAUAUGUAUAAAACAUUUUGCUCGUGCCUUUCUAACAGACUAGCAUAAAUAGUCUAUAAUAUUGUUGUUUUCUAAUGAUUCAAAUGAGUAAUAUUAUUUGAUUGAUUGUUGAUGUUAACAUCUAUUUUCUUGAAAACUUUUCUGUAAGGAUAGCCGACUUAACAACAACAGCUUGGUGGGUCCGAUCCCUAUGUCAUUGACUAAUAUCUCCUCACUUCAAGUACUGUGAGUGCAAAUUUUGAUUUCAAUCUCUCUCUCUCUCUCUCUCUCUCUCUCUCUCUCUCUCACGCUCAUGUCUCAUGUGUGGUAUUUGUUCAUUGCAAGAAUUAUAUGCUCUGACGUUGUAUUUCUAAAUGUAGGGAUCUGUCAAAUAAUCACCUCUCUGGAGAAGUUCCGGACAAUGGCUCCUUCUCUUUAUUCACUCCCAUAAGGUUUCUUCUUAAUGUUGAAAUUAUCUUGCAUUUUCUGACUCUGAUGUUGGUGAUAUGCUGAGGUGUUCUCUGUCGUUUGCAGUUUUGCUAACAACUUGAAUCUAUGUGGCCCAGUAACUGGUCGCCCCUGCCCAGGAUCUCCUCCAUUUUCACCUCCCCCACCUUUUGUCCCACCACCCCCCAUUUCAACACCAGGUGAUUGAUCUUCUUAUUUCUAUUAAACCUCCAGGGUUUUAGGUGAUGGUUAUAUAUAGCACAUCUUCCUCCAUGGUCCUGGACUCCUAUGAUUUCACAUCUUGGUUAUGAUACUUAAGUUCAUUGCUUCUCUAUUGUCUUUGGGAAGUGUUAUUUAUGUAGUAGUUGUACUUUUAUUCUACUUUUAUUGAUUACUCGGCCAAUACGGACAGUCUUUUCUUAUUCUUUUGCUGUACCUUUUUUUUUUUUUUUUUUUCUUCCUCUCGCUAUUCUUCCCUGGUUACUACUCAAUAGUGAACUACAGUGAGCUUUAUUGCAUCCUUUAUCUGCAAAGGCAAAUAUGUGUUAAAUUUGGUAGGCAGGUUUCUUCAUUUUAGUUCGGGUUUUGUAGUUUCACUCUUCCAGAAUAUGAAUGAACUGCAUUAUCCUUCUGAAAUUUAAUUUUGAUGAACUGUUGGCAAGUUUUUGUUGGUGCACUUCCAAGUUUUUGAUGGGCAUGGUGUUUGGGAGAUGUGCUGUCAUGACAAUCUUUUGGGUGGUAUGGAUAGAGAGGAAUAGAAGAAUUUUUCAGGGAGAAAGGGAUGAGCAGGUGGAUCUUCUAUGCGAUAGAGUUCGUUUUUGGGGUUCUCUUUGGGCGUUGGUAUCUUCAGAAUUUAGGAUAGUUCUUUUCAACCUUUAUUGUAUUAUUGGAAUUCUGCUGUAUACUAGGUUUUUUUAGGUCUGCUGCCAUGUAUCUUUAUUGCCUAGCUUUGUUUUGCAGUCUUUGUGGUUGUAUUUAGCUAUAAUGAAAUUAUGUUUCUUGUCAGAAAAAGAAAAAGAAAAAGAAAGUUGAAGUGUUGGCAAGUGUACUUUUCAUUGGCUUUAAAGCUUUGAGUAUGUAGUAUCUAAUCUUUAUUUUCUUCAUAAUACAGGAGGGAAUAGUGCCACUGGGGCUAUCGCUGGUGGAGUUGCUGCUGGUGCUGCUUUACUAUUUGCUGCCCCUGCAAUUGCAUUUGCAUGGUGGCGACGGAGAAAGCCGCAAGAAUUUUUCUUUGAUGUACCUGGUUAGUAAUUCAACUUAAAUAUGGGUCAGUUUCAGCGUAAUUGUUUGUUUAAAAUAUUAUCUAUAUCUCUUUGUAGCUGAGGAGGAUCCUGAAGUACAUCUUGGGCAGCUUAAGAGGUUUUCUUUGCGAGAAUUACAAGUUGCAACAGAUAGUUUUAGCAACAAAAACAUUCUGGGGAGAGGUGGGUUUGGUAAGGUCUAUAAAGGGCGACUAGCAGAUGGUUCACUGGUCGCUGUGAAAAGACUGAAAGAAGAGCGCACCCCUGGUGGGGAGUUGCAGUUUCAAACAGAAGUAGAGAUGAUCAGCAUGGCCGUGCAUCGAAAUCUUCUUCGGUUACGUGGGUUCUGUAUGACACCAACUGAGCGAUUACUUGUUUAUCCUUAUAUGGCUAAUGGCAGUGUUGCCUCAUGUUUAAGAGGUAGAGCUUCAACACAUUUUGAUACACUUUCAGGAUGAUACUUUAUUGCUUCAGAAGCUUACUUUAUCUCAUUCAAUUUGUGCUUUCAAGGUCUAAUCCUGUUUGCUAUUUCCUUAUAGCUUCCUUAGUGUACAUUUCUUCCAUGAUAUGUUCAACGUUGCAAAUUUACAAAAGGAAUGAAUUUUCUGUGUCCAAUCCUUUAUUCAUGCCUUAAUUUAUGUUUUUUUUUCUAGAACGCCCACCAUCCCAACCACCUCUUGAUUGGCCAACUCGGAAGCGAAUUGCAUUGGGAUCUGCAAGGGGUCUUUCUUAUUUGCACGAUCAUUGUGACCCGAAGAUUAUCCACCGUGAUGUGAAAGCUGCAAACAUUUUGCUGGAUGAGGAGUUUGAGGCUGUGGUUGGAGACUUUGGGUUGGCUAAACUUAUGGACUACAAAGACACCCACGUCACUACUGCCGUACGUGGCACAAUUGGUCAUAUAGCUCCAGAGUACCUGUCUACUGGGAAGUCUUCUGAGAAAACUGAUGUUUUCGGUUACGGCAUUAUGCUUCUGGAGCUUAUUACUGGUCAGAGGGCUUUUGAUCUUGCUCGGCUUGCCAAUGAUGAUGAUGUCAUGUUGCUUGAUUGGGUAUGCAUCUGUUCCAUUAUUAUUCAUGUUCAUGGAUUUGUUUUACUUCUGUCAUUAUUUUUUAUUAGUUAAUGCCGCCAGUGAACAAUCUCUUGGACUGUAGCUGUGAAGUCGCGUUGUACCUUUUUUACUCUCUAUGUUGUAUCCCUGAAGUAAUCCCUAGAAACCAAUAGCUCUUUCUUGAUUUUGAUAUCCAACCUUAGAAUGAAGGUCAGGGUUAUUGAGAGUAUCAACCUUCUGAGGUAGGGUAGGAAUGCUUAUCAACUUUGCUUCUGUAUAACCAACAAAAUAUAGAUGUUGAGACAACACAAAUGUGAAUUACUAGGUGAAGAUUCUGUUGGGAUUUUUUUAAUGCUUUCUGGGUAGGUUCCCUUUCCCCCUCUCUCGUAAUCACCUUUUUACAUGUAUAUAUAUUUUACGUUCCCGGACCUGAAGCUUUGCUAGAGCAAAAAAAUUGUUUAUUCGUCUUGCCCUCAUUAUAUAUUUGGAUGAAGUCAAGAAACUCUUGAGAACUGCAGUUUGGAUUGUUUUCCUCAUAUUUUUUUUGUGUGUGUAAACAUAUGUGACGUCAAUAAAUGGGAUCAAAGUUGAAUAAAAUAGAGUACAAGUGAGGUUUUCUCAACACAUCUUAUCUUAAAGAUGGGACAUCUUGUAUAGAGAAUCUCUGAUAUUUGGUUGCUGCUGUGAUAUUUGGUUGUUUUUCCCCUAUGUAGAUACUUGUCUUGUUUAACUCCUGUCUUUAGAUUUAAGAGAGCAAUGAUCAACAAUCUAGUGCUUGGGGUUUCUCUGGAUUGUUAGGAAACUGAGAUAUGAAAUGUCUACAAGAUCUCAUACAUCUGAGUGCUUUUCCAGGUGAAAGGACUACUCAAAGAGAAAAAGCUAGAAAUGCUGGUUGAUCCUGAUCUCCAGAACAAUUAUGUAGAAGCUGAGGUAGAGCAGCUAAUUCAAGUUGCACUGCUCUGCACACAAGGUUCUCCAAUGGACCGGCCUAAGAUGUCAGAAGUGGUGAGAAUGCUAGAAGGUGAUGGCUUAGCAGAGCGAUGGGAUGAGUGGCAAAAGGUCGAAGUACUCCGCCAGGAAGUGGAGUUAGCUCCUCACCCAAAUUCUGAUUGGAUUGUUGACUCAACAGAAAAUUUGCAUGCAGUUGAAUUAUCUGGUCCAAGGUGACCUUGGCAUGGUAGAAGUGAAAAAAGAAAGGGGGAAUUAUUUUCAACUUAAUUUUUUAACUAUAUAUAUAUUUUUUCUUUAAUGACCAUAUCCUGAUUAAUGUAUCUUGUAAGUCCAUUCUGCAUUUUAUUCGUUACACUUGUGCAUAUGAGUUGCUUUACUAAGGUGCAAUUUGUAUCAUCUGCUGCAGUUUGACAAAGCCAUAAUUUUAUAUAUAAGAAGCUGUGGCAGUUUUAAUCUUUCAUGCUCUGCAUGUAUAUGCCAGGUCAAUUUUUUUUUAUUAUCUCAUCUGUUUAUUCAUGGGAGGCCUCAUCUUUGAAUGAAAUCAAAUCCUGCAGUUAGAGAUCAGUUUCCAAAUUUGCUCAUUCAUGUAGGCAAGUUAAAUUUUCACCAAGUUUCAUCUUGAGGUCUACAAAAGGUUAUGCCAGAUGUUAUGCUAUUGAAACUUCAAGGGUUAAUCGUUUUAUUGAUUCCUGAAUUUAAACUUGAUUUGCAUUUGAGUAUUUUAAUUUUCAAAAUGGUUCUCAUGGUCCUUUAACUUUAGUUUCGUUUGGACAAAUGGUCCUUUCGUCAAGUUAACUUUUCCUGUUAAAUUUAGGGGCAAAUGGUAAUUUUAUAUAAAAAUAAAAAAAAAUAAUAAAAAAAUCAUAUCUUUAAAAUAACAAUAAAAGAAAAAAAAUAACAAUAAAAGAAAAUCAAAUAAAAAAUUAACAAAAAAAAAAAUUCAAAUUUUGGGAGAGUAGAAAUCGGGAUAGAGGGAGAGAGAGUUUAAUUUUAAUUUUAUAGUUUUUUUAAUCAUAUUUUAAUUAAUUUUGAUACAAAAAUACCAUUUUGCCCCCUGCAUUUAACAGAAAAGUUAACAAAAUUGAUGGCAAGACCAUUUGUCUUAACGAAACUAAAGUUCAAGGACCAUAAGAACCAUUUUGGACUCAAAUGCAAAUCGGGUCUAAAUUUAAGGACUAAUAAAAUGAUUAACCCAAAUUUCAAUUGAAUGAACUUACAGGCAGAAGGAAUUACCCAGAGAAUGUGAUUUAUGGAAUGAAUUUGUGUGAGCAUUUUUAGUAUAGCCCACCUUUUUAUAGGGGGGAGGUUUUAUUAAUAUAUGGGGUUAUUUUUUUUAAAAUAAAAUUAUGUAUUCAAUUUAGACUUUAAAAAUCCAAGGUAUUCAAUUAGGAUAUUUAUAAAAGUAUGGGUGUAUUCAAUUUAGACUUUUAUGUACUUUUAUAAAAUCAUACAAACGAUUUUGGCGGUAGCAUGUAUUGUUGGUGGUGCUACUGGCGGUAGUGGCUUUCUGCAGUUCUACUGGCUGAGUGGCCGUAGUGUGUGGUUGAUUAUUGGUGGGGAACCAGUAAUCAUGGGUGAGUCAAGGAACUGAUGUGGUGGUAAAGACUGGCCUUCAAAUAUUUUCCUUAUUGUUUUCCUUCGAAAAAUCUUCAUAUCCUUCAAAACAAUGUGAAAAAAUUCUUCAAUUUUUUUUUUCCGGGGGAUUUGAACGUAUGACCUUUUAUAUUAUUGGGAAAAAAAAUAUCAUUAGAUUAAGAACUAAGCGCUAAUUGCUAUCUUAAUUACAAACUAAUGUUGACUCAAUUGUCCCUAGUUCAACAUGUUUUCAUCUUAAUAGUAAAUUAGUUAUAUGUUGUCGGGGCAAAUUUUGGGUUCUUGAUUUCUACAUUAGAUUCCACUCUGUCGACCCUUCCAUGUCGGUAGAUUUUGUGUUCAUUUUGGUGCAUUGGCGGGCCCCAUUUUGGUGGAGUUGUUGUUUAUCGUGUGGAUGUUUGUGCUUCUGUUUUUUCUGUUUGGUGAAGAUUUAUUGGUUUUUGUGGCGGAUCUGUGGGUAUUGGCCUUGUUGUAGUGUGUUUUUAUGUGGUGGCAGGUUCUCCUUCUCAACUUUGGCUACAGUGGUGUGCCGCUCCUGUAUUCCUGGAGGCACUGACGGCUAUGGUGCUUUUGUGCUAGGCUUUGGUUGGGACUUAUGUCUCUCGGGAGAUAACUGUCUGGAUUAGGCUUUACCCAAAAAGAAUUAUGCAUUGAUCUCUCAUUUUAUUAUAUGAUUAUUUUUGUUUUAAAUUUGCAUACCUCCAAACAUAAAAAUAAAAUAAAUGACGACAUUACUUCAAUUUUGCAAGACUCUUAAUAAUUUGAAGAUUCUUCAAGUAAAUUUAUUCGAGGGACACCAUUUGGAGCCCAUAAGAAUUUUAUUUCAAGAAUUCGAACCUUUUUUUUUUCUUUUCAAGUAUUCAUUUAUAGAUCGUAAAAAAAAAAGAAAAAAAGAGACAAAUCGGAAACUGUUAAUACAUCCACUUAUGCUCUACAAGAGAAAAUAUGCACAUAGAAAGGGGAAGAUUGAAAAAAAAAAAACAAGGGAAAAAAGUAGGUGUGGAAAUUAAAACAACAAUAAAUAAAGUCCAUUGACAAUGAAUUACAAAUAGUUCAAACUCUCAACAUGAUCUUGCGGAGAGAUGGCGCUUAUUUUUUCCCCCUUGUCAGCAUUCCAAAAUCUAUCAUUUUGGUGAAGAACUAUAACUUGCUCUCCAAGUACACAUAAAGAGGUAUGUGUCUGAGGUUCGCUUUCAACUAGAGAAACUAAAAAAGGGAAAAGAAAAGACUAGAAACUAGUAUCUUAUUACGUUUGGUUAUAUGAAGAAAAGGGGAAACAAAGAACGCAUUUCAUCAUAAUAUUCCUUAAAAUUAAUCUGACGCUUUUUAUUUUAUAAGCGUAUUAAAUACCUUACCAUGACGAUUUUAUAACACUCAUUGUCUUUUUAAAAAUCACGACGGUGCCGUCUAUAAAAUCUGGGGACAGUGUUUCUUUCCUUGUAAUAAUCUGAAUAAAUUUAAAUUUAUUUUCAAAAUACAGAAACCCUAAAUCACUCUCACAAAAUCAAAAGAAAUAGGGCGGCAAGCAACCGCUGGAAUUGUUUCCUGGUUGAAGUUGGAUUUCAAGUUUUAGAUUAGGUUUAGAUUUUCAAGAACCUAUUUGGAUUGGGUAUACAUAAAUAUUUACUAUACUCCUUGUACCACUCGGAUUAGGACUACGUAGGCUAUAUAUAUGCAUUAUCAAAAUCCCAUUUUCUUCAUUCUUGGUCUCUCUCGUCUUUUCCCAUCCCAUUCAUAAUCUCUAGUUACCAUGUCCAUCGUUAGGUACUUCGACACCCUCGUUUGGCAAAGAACAAAACCCGACAUCAACCAAUCCCAUCUUCCACCCGACGUUCUUCACAUCGUAUUCAAACUCUACAAGUCAACCACAAGAGCUUGGUGCCCUCGAGAAGAUGAUCAUGAUGUUCCAAUAGUGGUUCCAUAUUCACGAAGAAACCUCGUAUUUAUAACUCAAGAAACCAUCAAGGUCCCUCGUACCAUGCUAAAAUCUUCUAGCACUACUUCCCUCGUGGUUGAUAUUCUCUCCAGCAUGCUUGUCCCCGAGCAUGAACAUCCAGCUCUUAUCGAAAAAAUAUUUCGUGUGCUUGUCGAAAAAUAUUCAUCGGACAAGACUAACACCAUGCUCCCCAUUGUUGUGGGCAUAAAUGAUGCGACUUUGCACAUAACCACCAUCGGCGACGACGGUCAAACAAGCGACGAGGUUCUAGAUAGGGUUACGAGGGAAUCCACGCAAACAUAUGAGCCCAAGCCUAUCCCUGCAGAUAAAUUGAUCAUUGAGCAAUUGGAGAAGCUGAGGCUUGAUGACUUGGAAGAAAUUACCGGACAGAUGGCGUGCACCAUUUGCAUGGAGGACUUUGAGGGCGGUGUUGAAGUUAGUCGCUUGCCUUGCUUGCAUCUUUACCAUGGAGAUUGUAUUGUUCAGUGGUUGGAGACGAGUCACUUGUGUCCUUUGUGUCGAUAUCCAAUGCCUCCUGCUCAUUGAUUUUUUAUUUUACUUGUUAGAUAUUAUAUCAUGUUGUAAUGGAAGAUUAAGCAAAUAAAGGAUCUGAUAAUCAAUGAGCAAUGAGAUACUUUUUUGGAUAACUCUUAAUAGUUAUCUUGAAUUUUGAUCAGCCUUUUGUUUGGGCUCAAAGUUCCUUUUUUUUUUUUUUUUAAUCUCCUGGUUAAGUUUUCUAUCUUGUUCGAUAAGAAAUUAUUUGACCUAGAUAACUCUAUUUUUAGUAAUUUAUUGUAAUUAGAAGAUUAAUCAUCAGUCUUGAGUGAGUUGAACUUAAAAUAAUAAAACCCUAUUCUUCUAAUAUGGGUGAAAUUGUGUUGGGAGAUUUUUCCUUACAAUUUUCCCUCAACAAUCCUGUCAGUUGCAUCCAUGCCCUGGCUUUGGCUAAGCUCAAAAGAUUUAACAAGGUUGUAAUGGAAACUGAUAACUUGUGUGAGGGUGUUAAAGUUUGUUGCGGAGAUAAGGCUUCUGAGAGAAAGUUUGAUUGUGUUGAAUGGAAUUGGGUCAUUCCGAUGGGCUCCCUUGGCCACCCCCAUAGGUUUGGUUGCGAAUUGACCUUGAUUAAAUAGGUUUGGUUGGUCACAUCCCACGCGCGUGGAGGACUCACAUAUCCAAUAAUAUCACAUCACACGUGAAUUAAAUUAUUAUUAAAAAAAAAAAAAAACAAUUACUGAAAGAAAAUUUAAACAUUCAUUAAGCAUAAAAAAAAAUAUGAACAUUCAAAAUUGCCUCCAUCAUUUGUAAUUCCAAAACCACAAAGAGGAGUAAAAUUUCCCCAACAAGAAAACAUACAUUAUAUAUUCAACCGUGGUUUUACACAUUACACCAUACCAAAAAAAAAAUAAUCAAAAUAAAAUAAAAUUAAAAAAGAAGAAAUCAAAAGAGCAAAUGGGCAGUUAUAAAUUGAGCUUAAUAUCACCCAAGUCAAGCUCCGCAGCAAUCUCCUCAAGCUGCUUCUUCACGCUCAAAUCGAUAAGCUUCGACCCAGAGUUGCCAUAUCUCACAGUGAACCCGGCCACCAAGCUUGGAUCAAUCUCCGUCUUGAUCCUCACGUUCUUCGCCCCCGUCAGCUUCUGCACCUGCUUCGCUAUCUGCGCCAGGUGCUGCGACUCCAGCUUCACCACCGAGGUCACGAUGGCCAGCUCCGUGUCCGUGAUUUUGUUGUAAACCACCUCGAACUCCUUUACGAUGUCCUUUAUGAGGUCGAUUCGCUUGGCGUCGACGAGGAUGUUGAGGAAAUUGACGGUGUGGGGUUGGAGGGUGGAGGAGUUGGCGAUUUCGUCGAGGACCUUGCGCUUCUUGUCGAGGUCGAUGGUGGGGUUGAUGAAGAAGUCGAAGACCGACGGCUCGCCGAAGAACUUCUCGAUCUUCUCCACGUCGCCCGCCGUGGUUUCGAGGGUGUUGUUGGAUUUGGCCACGUCGGCCAACGCCGUGGCGUAGCUGGCGGCGGCGGAGGAGUUCAUUCUGGCGCCGAGGGCUCCGCCGCCGUUUCGGCGGAGGGUGACGACGGCGGCGGCGGAGGAGGAGAGCUUGAGGGGGAUGGGGGUGAAGGUGGAGGAGAAGGAGAAGGAGAGGGUGGAGGUUCUGGGGGUGAGGGUGGAGGAGAGUUGUGGUGGGGAUGAUGGGUUUUGGGAUUGGAGAGAGAUUGGGGUGUGUUGGAGGGCGGCCAUUGGUCAAUUGGGUGGCUCUCUUUCUCACUCUCACUCUUGGUUUGAUGAUGCGAAGAGAGAGUUUGUGGAACUGAAAGGAAG
rnacentral:lncRNA from 1 species